CUUGUAAGAAACACAAUCAAUGAUCACGUGGGUGGACCUUUGCCUUUCUCAAGUUGUCAGUACAUAGUUUAACCAUUAAUAGAAUAAAUAGAUACUCAAGAACCAGCUUAAGAGAUGGAGUAUCAUGCCAAACAUAGACAACAGAUGGCAUCCUUAUCCAAGCUUAUGCCACUUCCAAUUACUUUAGGAAGUCAUUUCCAUUGCAGCUUAUUUAAGUUGAGUGCUCUUACUCCAUAUAAUGAAUGAUAUGCCACUAAGUUUUCCCAAACGACAGAACCUAGAUCUUUUCCAAAGCUCAAACAAGGAACAUUGCAUUCUGUUAUAUUAGAACUUCAGAGGGCUUCAGAAGGUCUAGGGUAACACUGACAAUUUAAUAAGGCUAGAAACACAGAAAAUGCAAAAAAGUUUGGAAAAAGAGUUUAAGUUAGCUUAUAUAAAAGGAAACUUGCUUAUAUUUAUCUGGAAUAAGGACAAAAGUUUUGCAAUGGCAACAUCACAAAUGAUUAUUCUUUUUGAAGUAACUCUAGCAUGAUCUUUCUUCAUGUGCGAGGCAUGCCAAAGCUUAUGCAUAUGUCACGCAAUGUCCCUCAUCAACAACAAAACCAGAGAGUUGUGCCUACAAUAAAAUAUCAUCAAAUAUAAAAAAUUAUAAAGAACCAUUUUGGAAAAAAGUUACAGUGCAUCAGAAACAACACCUUUCUGUGCAUGCAUUUCAAUAUCUCGAGAAAUGAUAUUUUUCCCCCAAUCCUUUUAGGAGUUACAUGCAAUAGCUUGCACGAUGUUUAUCUUUUCUGAAAGGGCAGGCAAAGCAGAAGUGGAGGUUAAUAAUUUGGCAGUCACAACACUCAGCAUAAAAGUUUUUUGAUCAAAAACCGCGAGGACAACUGCCAAUUGGGCAACAGUCUGUUGAGAGUUCAAGAAAGUAGAUUGUAUGCUGUACUUGAGGGUUACAUUAGUUAUUUGAUCCUAGAUGAGAAAUAGCAAGGGAGAUAUAACAACUGUGACACCUGGUUUUAAAGUUGCUAGCAGCUGAAACGAAGGUAAAAACAUCAGAAGAGCAAAUGAAGAAAGGAAGGGACGAUGGAAUUAUUAUUUCUUUCACCUUCAGUUGAUCAGGAAGGACAAGUUGUCACUACUUGUUUUAUAAUUACUUUCAGUACAUAUAUCAACUACUUCAAGACUAAAUAGAAAACACUUCUAAAAAAAUCAACUUAAUAAAUCCAAACUUAUAUCUUCCUUCUUAAUUCAGUUAUCAUUAAUUUUGCUUGCAACCAAGAUCCAUUGUAUAUUAAAGGACAUUAAUUUCAAACCAAUUAUGGGAAAAAGAAGUCCUAGAUCAUCACCCUUUGUUGAGAUAAUGGCAUAGCAAAUAACUGCAAAGGACCUUACCAAAAAAAAAAAACUGCAAAGGACAUAUAAAAAUCUAGAACCCAUUUCUCUCUGACUUAAUAACCCUCUUGAAUUGGACAUGAAUUAUGACUGACAACAACACAUAACAUGCAUAAACAAGAUGAAUUUUCAUGUAAGUGAUUAGAAGGUCCUAGAAGUGUAGCGCAAACUUCAAAUCCUAAAGAUUACAGACUAGAUAGAGAGGUGCGAAGGCAGAACAAGAAUGUACAAUAUUUCCUUCUUUUCUACUUUUGUCCGAUGCCAUACAUUGGAACCCAUGCUUAUGUGCCUGAAUCACUUCCUAUAGCUUAAUUUCAUUUGAAAAACAUUUCCUUCCUUAAGUUCACAACCUUCUUAAAAUGCUAAACAAAGCAGAUCAGAAGAUCAUGUUAUAGCUUAAAUGUUGACAUACAAGUCUACUUAAACAUUUAAUUGGUGGAACCACUGAGCAAAGUGCACAGGGCUUGUGCUCUAACAUUGUCUCCACACACUUCUACAUACAAUCAUCACCCAGUUGAGACAAUGUUAACAUUAACUAACCUGGUAACAUAAACUUUUACCACCUUUAUUGGGCAUGAGAAUAAAGCAAACUUGCUUGGCUACAGAAGCUUUACAAGCCUGACGUUGCAUUGGUCGAAAUGCCUUGGUUCCGAAUAUGACAAUGUGACAUCCCGAUUUUUCUCAAUUUUAUUUUUAGUCAAUUGAGUCGGGCAAUUCAUCUGUGCGUGUAGUUCGUCUCUCAGAGUUGGCCACUCACGAGGGAACUAGUCUAUUGAGUGAAGCAAUUAAGGAAUUUUAAUGCGUCAGACUUGGGGACUGAUCACCCUCGGGUCGGAUGCAAGAAAAUUUCCCCAAAAGCUACUCAGUGGAUUAGGCGCGCUGAAAUCGCACCAGAGUGAAUUCAACCGUAAAAAUUGGGAUUGAAUUUAGAAGUUGGAAGCCCGGUUAUGUCACACAUCUUAUUAGGAUGAUGGGAUAAUUUUGUGGAUUUUAAUUGAAUUCAAUUAGAAGAGAAUUGAAAGAAAAAUUGAAGAAAUUGGAUGUGCAAGGAUUUGGACCCCUGUGGAAAUGAUAUUGCACCCAUUGAAGAAUGUUGCGGGAGAGGAGAUACUGGAAGAUGACAUCAUGGGGGUGAUGUCAUGCUGAUUGAAGCCAAGGAUUGAGGGCUUGACAAGUGGAGGGUGGAGAUUUAAUCUCCAAAAAGGGGGCCAUCACCAUCAUCUUCAACCUUGGGAAGGAGAGAGAGAGAACUGGCGAAGGGGAGCUCGCCCGUCGACCAGCCUGCCCGCGCAUGCCGCUCCUCUGCCGUUCGUCGUCGUCGUGCAGCGCCGUCGUCACCGUCCCGUGCGACCGCGCAUCGCCCCGCACCCGCGUGCUCAUGCUUCGUCAACGCCGCCUCAGCAGUGCUCGUCCCGUCGGCCCAGCCACCCCAGCCGCUGUUCGACCUUGCCAGAGCCUCCUUCACCGUCGCCGUUGAGCCAGCCGAGCCGCCGCCUCUUCCUCCGCUCGUUUCGCACGCCUGCACCUCCCCGUCGCGCCUCUUUCCGGCCCGGUUCAACUGCUCCAUUUAUGGGUAUCUUAGCCCCUUCUAGGCCCACUUUGGCUAUCUUCCCGGCUCCGGAAGCUAGGCCCGCCUUUGGAAAAGUCAAUCCCGGCGUUGCCCUCGUCGUUUUGGUCCAAGCGGUGAGUUAAUCAAGUGAGUUUAUCUCACUAAACCCUAAUUAGAGUGUUAAUAAUGCCCUAAGUUUGUUUAGUUUGAAUUAGGUGAAUUUAGGUGGGUAGAUUAGUAUAUUUAAUUAUAAAUUGGGUUAAGAGGUUGGUUUAUAUUAAAGUAUGUUUAAUUAAGGUGAAAAUAGGUUAUUUAAUGUUAAGCCUUGAUGGGACAUAAUAGGAUUUUAGUUUUGAAUUAUUUAAUUGCUUCAAAAUUCUGGAUAAUAUAAUAUUAUAUUAUAAUCCGAAAUUAUUUAAAUAUUAUUAAAAAAACGGAAAAAUUAUUUUUGACCCCGGUUGCUCAGAAUUUCGUGACGAUCGCUGCUAUGCAUUUAGAAUUUGAAAUUGAUGAUUGAUUGUGACAAAUUGAGUGUGAUUGCGAUAAAUAGAGAUUUUUUUUAUAAAAUCUUAAGUGUGGAAAUUGAUGGGAGAUUGGCCGUGAUUGACCACCUAUUAGAGGUCGUGCCCAAUAGGGUCGUGAUUAACCACCUAUUAGAGGUCAUGCCCAGUGAGGUCGUGAUGUACCACCUAUGAGAGGUCGUGCCCAAUAGGGACGUGAUUAACCACCUAUUAGAGGUUGUGCCCAGUGAGGCCGUGAUGGACCACCUAUGAGAGGUCGUGCCCAAUAGGGCCGUGAUUAACCACCUAUUAGAGGUCGUGCCUAAUGAGGCCGUGAUGGAUCACCUAUGAGAGGUCGUGCCCAAUAGGGCCGUGAUUAAUCACCUAUUAGAGGUCGUGCCCAGUGAGGCCGUGAUGGACCACCUAUGAGAGGUCGUGCCCAAUAGGGUCGUGAUUAACCACCUAUUAGAGGUCGUGCCUAGUGAGGCCGUGAUGGACCACCAAUGAGAGGUCGUGCCCAAUAGGGCCGUGAUUAAUCACCUAUUAAAGGUCGUGCUCAGUGAGGCCGUGAUGGACCACCUAUGAGAGGUUGUGCCUAAUAGGGCCGUGAUUGACCACCUAUGAGAGGUCGUGCCCAAUAGGGCCGUGAUUGACCACCUAUUAGAGGUCGUGCCCAUCGGGCUGAGAUCUACCACCUAAUUAAAGGUCGUGCCAAGUGGGGCCGUGAUUGCCACUGGUUAUUAAACCUUCCUAUAGGGUCCUGAUUGGAAGCAGUAAUUGAUUUGCUAGAAUGACAUGUAAUUGGCCGAGUCAAUUGAUCGCUAAGACGAUCCAAGUGAUUGAAUUGUUCUGAUAAUGUGAUUGUGCCUCAGUUGUUUGGUUAUCAGAAUUGCACAUUGUUGAAUUAUAUAAAUUGUGCUAACCUGUAGAUAAAGGCUAAUGUGAGGACCGUAGAUGGCGGUACCCCCGGAGAAGAGUGGCAUGCCGACAGAGAUUGACCAGACGACGCAGAGUGCUCCUGACCCUGGAAGUCCUUGGGUCUAUCAGUUGGUUAGGUCCAUUGUCUAGGUCUAGGUGACUGUGGAUGUCAGGGUACCUUAUAUGUUUAGGGCUUGGUUUCGUUUUGGAGUCGAUGGCGUUAGGGUUGGCCCACUGGAUAGUAUGGACAUUCCGUUGGCUGUGAUGAACGCCAUUUUGGGUGAAGGCGUGGCGGAUCUUCCUGACGGUAGAGUGAUCAAUGCAUCGCCCCCAGCCUCUUGGGUGACAGAUCCUAAGGAUGUGGGAUCGUCGAACGAGGCCAACCAAUAGUCUUAGGACUGUUUUUCUUUUUGGCGGACCGAUCCAUGUUGUGUAGACUAACCCUUUUUUAUGCACAUAAGCUUUGACCCAUUUUUGGUGCAUAUAGUCUCUGGAUCCUGUUGGUGUAUAUAAACCCUGGAAUGAUGAUGAUUUAUGAAAGUAUGUUUGUUUGAUUUUGAAUUGAUUUUCCUGUUGUCAUAUCCCGUAUGUUUUUAUCAGGGUUUCUUAGCACAUUCCACAUUCACAUAAUAAUUUAAAAUGGGGCCGGCGACACUACCUGGGAAUGUCGCAUUUACAUGACCAUGGCAGGUUGUUCAAGUGUCUCGGGGUUUGAGGCGUGACAUCCCCGUUUAAGUGGUAUCAGAGCAUGUUUUGUGUAUGGAGUGAUAAGGGCGAUGAGUCAUGGGAUAAUUAGUAGGAAGAACUUUCCAUAUCCUAAUGCACGUGAUUGUUAGUUGUUUGUUAACUUGGUUGGAAUGUUACUCAAAUUCUAAUAUGGUAUUGGAAUUCGCCAAUAGGCGUCUGUAUUGAGCCUGUAGCAUGAGUGACCGAGUGCCGAGAGCUGUUAGGAAGAGAGCAGCAGGUCCCGUGUUUCGAGGUGGGUCUUCGUUGAGGGCCGGUGCCCGUGGUACCCUGGGAGGAGCGCAGGCCAAGACCAGUGCAAAUGGUGCAGCUUUGCCUCCAGACGGUGCAACAGCGUUAGAGGAUUCGAGGUUUAUUGGAAUCAUGCAGAUGCUCGAGGCGAUGGGAGACAGGAUGGAUCAGCAAGCCACUGCUAUAGCCACCGCAUUGAACACCGCCAAUACCACUGCUACUGCCGCCGCACCGGUUGCCGAACCAGAAGAGGAACCCGAUGAAAUUCUACUUGAGGAUGUGGCCGCUGGGAGGCCUAGACAGAAGUUGGUAUAGCAUCAACGUUCACGGGAGCAAGAGACCCCAAAGCUACAGCAUUAUGGAUCCUGGAGUUAGAGAAUGCCUUUGAGUUGCUGUUGUGCACUGAAGCAGAAAAAGUCGUCCUGGCAGCCUAUCAGUUGAGGGGGAUCGCGGCUACAUGGUGAAAGACUAACAAAAGGAUAAUGUUCCCUAAAGGUGUGGUUCUAGAGUGGAAUGCUUUUCUUGAAGUCUUCAAUGAGAAGUACUUUUUUGAUUGUGCCAGAGAGGUGAAAAUGGCGGAGUUUCAGUGCCUUCGUCAAGGUACCAUGUCAGUUGAUCAUUAUGAAGCGAAGUUCACCGAACUGUCGCAGUAUGCCCCUGAGUUGGUCCAGCGACCGUCAGACCGAGCUCGAAGGUUUAGAGAUGGGUUCCGAUCGGAGGUGAGGAGCUUGUUGGUACCACUGGAUUUGAAGGAGUACAAUGACCUCUACAAGCAGGCCCAGCUAAUCGAGAAAGACCAGAAUGAGAGAGCUGUCGCAUUUGGGUCACGGUUUAAUUCAAACAGAGAUGAUAAUCGGUUUGGGAAGAGGCCGAUGCCUGGGGGAAGGUAUCAUGUUCCACCCAACAGGAAGGGUGGAGUGGGGAAGUCGUCAUCGAGCUUCAAUGGAGCAUGUCGUUCGUGUGGAAGGCGACAUGGCUCAGCCCCGUGCCCUCUUAGGACGGGUGCUUGAUAUGAGUGUGGCCAGCAGGGUCACAUUACUAGGGUUUGUCCCAGGAGACAGAUGAGACAACCUCAAUUGCCGCCACCACUGGGUCAGAACAGAGGAUUCGCACCGCAGAUCGUGUCGCCCGGUGGAUUGAACCGACCUCUAGCUCAAGGAAGGACUUAUGCACUCACUAGAGGACAGGCGGAGGAUGCACCUAAUGUGGCCAUAGGUAUGGUCUUGCUGAACGACAAACCUGCUUAUGCUUUAUUUGAUCCCGGAGCUUCGCAUUCGUUUAUAGCUGAAAUAUUUAUUAAGUUGGUAGAAUUAAUUCCUGAAUUGUUGGAGUUUGUGAUUAGCGUAUCUACUCCGUUGAAAGAUAAGGUGUUAGUUACAGUAGGUUGCCUAGGUUGCAAGCUAGUGAUUGGUGAGCGAGAGGGGAGGAUAGAUUUGAUAGUCCUAGCCAUGUAUAAUUUUGAUGUGAUAAUUGGCAUGGACUGGCUCACCAAGCAACGAGCUAAGAUGGACUGUUAUCGCAAGGCGAUUUAGUUUAACCCAUUAGAGGGUGAGAGUUUCGAAUUCAAUUGGAGUCGAGGAGGACCCUCGGUUUCCUUAAUCUCAUUGCUCGAGGCAACUCGCUUGCUAGGCAAGGGUUGCCAAGGUUACCUGGCGACUAUCGUGGACAUGAUAGUAGAGGAGUCGAAGAUAGAAGACAUUCCAGUGGUGCGAGAGUUCCUAGAUGUGUUCCCGAAAGAAUUACUAGGUUUGUUGCCAAAAAGAGAGAUAGAGUUUGUAAUUGAGUUAGCUCUCGGGACCGAGCCUAUCUCCAAAGCUCCUUACCGGAUGGCCUUGUCAAAGCUUAAGGAACUAAAGGUGCAAAUGCAAGAGUUGUUGGAUAAAUGAUUUAUACGUCCAAGUGCAUCACCUUGGGGAGCAUCGGUGUUGUUUGUGAAGAAGAAUGAUGGUUCAUUACGCUUGUGCAUCGACUACCGACAGCUCAACCAGGUGACAAUUAACAACAAGUAUCCGUUGCCAAGGAUUGAUGAUUUGUUUGAUCAACUUCAAGGAGUGUCGAUAUUUUCUAAGAUCGACUUGAGGACGGGAUAUCAUCAGCUAAGAAUCAAGAAGGAAGAUAUACCGAAGUCGGUGUUUCGCACUCGAUACGGCCAUUACAAGUUUACCGUGAUGCCGUUUGGGCUGACGAACGCCCCGACUGCUUUCAUGGACCUAAUGAACCGGGUGUUCAGAGAGUAUUUAGAUCAGUUCGUAAUUGUCUUCAUCGACGACAUCCUGGUGUAUUCAAGGAGUACUAAGGAUCAUGAAAGGCACUUAAGAAUAGUGCUUUAGACUUUGAGAGAUCACGAGUUGUACGCUAAGUUCAGUAAGUGCGAGUUUUGGCUAACUCGUGUGGCUUUCCUAGGUCAUGUUAUCUCUGGAGAAGGAAUCUCAGUGGACCCAGCCAAGAUUGAAGCAGUGAUCAACUGGCCGAGACCUACUACAGUGACAUAAAUAAGAAGUUUUCUGGGUUUAGCAGGGUAUUACAGACAGUUUGUAGAAGGGUUUCCAAUGUUAGCAUCGCCGAUGACGAGACUGCUGAAGAAGGAAGAAAAGUUUGUAUGGUUAAAUAAGUGCGAGUGUAGUUUCCAAGAGCUCAAGCAAAAGCUAACUAGUGCACCUAUACUUACUAUUCCAUCUAGUCCAGGAGGAUUUGAAAUCUACAGCGAUGCGUCGUUUAAAGGAUUAGGUUGCAUAUUGAUGUAGCAUGGUAGGGUUGUUGCGUAUGCGUCCCGUUAGUUGAGACCUCAUGAGUUGAAUUAUCCGACGCAUGACUUAGAACUUGCAGCGAUCAUCUUUGCCCUUAAGAUUUGGAGGCACUACCUGUGCGGAGAAAGAUUCCAAAUCUUCACUGACCACCAGAGUCUUAAGUACUUAUUCUCUCAGAAGGAGUUGAAUAUGAGACAGCGCCGAUGGAUGGAACUCCUAAAGGACUAUGACUAUGAGAUUUUGUAUCAUCCCGGAAGGGCGAACAAGGUCGCCGAUGCAUUGAGCAGGAAGUCUUCAGUUGCACAUAUGGUACUCAAGGAAUGGAGUCUACUUGAGGGAGCACGAGAUUCGAGUUUCAAGUUUGAAGUAUGCCACCUUUCGAACCUUAUGGCCACCCUCAGAAUUGAGCCAGAAGUUCAGGUCAGGAUCAGGACACUUCAGCAGACAGAUCCGAAUAUUUAGAAAAUCGUACAAGAGGAUACAAAGAAGAGGAAAGCUGACUUCCAGAUUUCUGAUAAUGGAACGUUGAGGUUCCAAGGACGGUUGGUUGUACCCCGCGAUGUGGAGCUUAGGGAGGAGAUUUUAUCAGAAGCGCAUCGUAACAGUUACAACAUUCAUCCUGGUAGUACCAAGAUAUAUCAGAAUCUGCGUCAACACUAUUGGUGGUGUGGCAUGAAGGCGGAUAUCGCCAAACAUGUCGCCAAGUGUUUGACGUGUCAGCAAGUGAAAGCCCAGCAUUGCAAACCGAGAGGACUUCUGCAACCCCUUGAGAUCCCAGAAUGGAAAUGGGAGCAUAUCACGAUGGGCUUCGUGACGGGACUACCGAGGAGCUAGAGAGGAAAUGAUUCGAUUUGGGUAAUAGUUGACAGAUUGACAAAAUCGGCUCACUUCAUUGCAAUUUGAAGGGACUUGAGUUUGGAUAGACUCGCAGAUCUGUAUGUACGUUAGGUAAUUCGUAUGCAUAGAGUGCCGGUCACAAUUACUUCAGAUAGAGACCUGAGGUUCACUGCCGCUUUUUGGAAGAGUUUGCAAUCCGCUUUAGGAACGAAGCUGCAGUACAGUACGGCCUAUCACCCGCAGACUGAUGGCCAGUCUGAGAGGACAAUUCAGACUCUUGAGGACAUGCUGCGAGCUUGUGUCUUAGACUUCAAAGGAAGUUGGGAGGAACAGCUUCAUCUGGUUGAGUUUGCCUACAACAACAGUUAUUGGCAGAGUAUUCAGAUGGCUCCUUUUGAAGCGUUGUAUGGUAGAGCAUGCAGAACGCCAGUGUAUUGGGAUGAGAUCGGAGAAAGAAAGAUCACCGGUCCAGAGUUAGUACAGCAGUCAGUGGAAGCAGUUGCAGUUAUCAGAGACAAACUAAAGACUGUUCAGAGUCGACAGAAAAGUUAUGCCGAUAAUCGUCGGAGGCCAUUGGAAUUCCAAGUUGGUAAGCACGUCUUCUUGAAGGUGUCAUCGGUGAGAGGUACUUCCCGCUUUGGCAAAAAGGGGAAACUAAGUUCGAGGUACGUAGGUCUCUUCGAGAUUUUGGAAAGAAUAGGGACUCUAGCGUAUCAUCUUGCACUGCCGCCGAAGUUGUCACAGGUGCACAACGUCUUUCACGUGUCGAUGUUGAGGAAAUAUGAACCUGACCCGACUCACGUUCUAAAUUUCGAGGAAUUAAACGUGGACAACAAAGUGUCGUACGUUGAAAACUCGAUUCAGAUUGUGGAUCACAAAGAGCAAGUUCUGCGCACUAGGACCAUCCCAAUGGUCAAAGUGAUCUGGCAACACCAUGGCACUAAAGGAGCAACCUAAGAGACCGAAGAAUCAAUAAAAAAAUUGUACCCCUACCUUCUUGUUUAAAGAUCUGUAAUGGUUUAAAUUUCGAGGACAAAAUUUUUAUAAGAGAGGAAGAGUUGUGACAUUCCAAUUUUUCUCAAUUUUAUUUUCAGUUAAUUGAGUCGGGCAAUUCAUCUGUGCGUGUAGUUUGUCUCUCAGAGUUGGCCACUCACGAGGGAACUAGUCUAUUGAGUGAAGCAAUUAAGGAAUUUUAAUGCGUCAGACUUGGGGACUGAUCACCCUCGGGUCGGAUGCAAGAAAAUUUCCCCAAAAGCUACUCAGUGGAUUAGGCGCGCUGAAAUCGCACCAGAGUGAAUUCAACCGUAAAAAUUGGGAUUGAAUUUAGAAGUUGGAAGCCCGGUUAUGUCACACAUCUUAUUAGGAUGAUGGGAUAAUUUUGUGGAUUUUAAUUGAAUUCAAUUAGAAGAGAAUUGAAAGAAAAAUUGAAGAAAUUGGAUGUGCAAAGAUUUGGACCCCUGCGGAAAUGAUAUUGCACCCAUUGAAGAAUGUUGCGGGAGAGGAGAUAGUGGAAGAUGACAUCAUGGGGGUGAUGUCAUGCUAAUUGAAGCCAAGGAUUGAGGGCUUGACAAGUGGAGGGUGGAGAUUUAAUCUCCAAAAAGGGGGCCAUCACCAUCAUCUUCAACCUUGGGAAGGAGAGAGAGAGAACUGGCGAAGGGGAGCUCACCCGUCGACCAGCCUGCCCGCGCACGCCACUCCUCCGCCGUUCGUGGCCGUCGUGCAGUGCCGUCGUUGCCGUCCCGCGCGACCGCGCGUCGCCCUGCGCCCACGUGCCCGUGCUCCAUCGACACCGCCUCAGCCAUGCUCCAUCCCAUCGGCCCAGCCACCCCAACCGCCAUUCGACCUCGCUGUAGCCUCCUUCACCAUUGCCGUUGAGCCAGCUGAGCCGCCGCCUCUUCCUCCGCCCGUUUCGCACACCCACACCUCCCCGUCGCGCCUCCUUCCGGCCCAGUUCAGCUGCUCCAUUUGUGGGUAUCUUAGCCCCUUUUAGGCUCGCUUUAGCUAUCUUCCCAGCCCCAGAAGCUUGGCCCGCCUUUGGAAAAGUCAAUCUCGGCAUCGCUCUCGUCGUUUUGGUCCAAGUGGCAAGUUAAUCAAGUGAGUUUACCUCACUAAACCCUAAUUAGAGUGUUAAUAAUACCCUAAGUAUGUUUAGUUUGAAUUAAGUGAAUUUAGGUGGGUAGAUUAAUAUAUUUAAUUAUAAGUUGGGUUAAGAGAUUGGUUUAUAUUAAAGUAUGUUUUAAUUAAGGUGAAAAGAGGUUAUUUAAUGUUAAGGCUUGAUGGGAUAUAAUAGGAUUUUAGUUUUGAAUUAUUUAAUUGCUUCAAAAUUCUGGAUAAUAUAAUAUUAUAUUAUAAUCCGAAAUUAUUUAAAUAUUAUUAAAAAAAUGGAAAAAUUAUUUUUGACCUUGGUUGCUCAAAAUUUCGUGCCAAUCGCUACCGUGCAUUUAGAAUUUGAAAUUGAUGAUUGAUUGUGGCAAAUUGAGUGUGAUUGCGAUAAAUAGGAAUUUUUUUUUAUAAAAUCCUAAGUGUGGAAAUUGAUGGGAGAUUGGCCGUGAUUGACCACCUAUUAGAGAUCGUGCCCAAUAGGGUCGUGAUUAACCACCUAUUAGAGGUCGUGCCCAGUGAGGCUGUGAUGGACCAUCUAUGAGAGGUCGUGCCUAAUAGAGCCAUGAUUAACCACCUAUUAGAGGUCGUGCCCAGUGAAGCCGUGAUGGACCACCUAUGAGAGGUCGUGCCCAAUAGGGCCGUGAUUAACCACCUAUUAGAGGUCGUGCCCAGUGAGGCCGUGAUGGACCACUUAUGAGAGGUUGUGCCCAAUAGGGCCGUAAUUAAUCACCUAUUAGAGGUCGUGUCUAGUGAGGCAGUGAUGGACCACCUAUGAGAGAUCGUGCCCAAUAGGACCGUGAUUAAUCACCUAUUAGAGGUCGUGUUCAGUGAGGCCGUGAUGGACCACCUAUGAGAGGUCGUGCCCAAUAGGGCCGUGAUUAACCACCUAUUAGAGGUUGUGCCUAGUGAGGCCAUGAUGGACCAUCUAUGAGAGGUCGUGCUUAAUAAGGCCGUGAUUGACCACCUAUGAGAGGUCGUGCCCAAUAGGGCCGUGACUGACCACUUAUUAGAGGUCGUGCCCAUCGGGCCGAGAUCUACCACCUAAUUAAAGGUCGUGUCGAAUGGGGUCGUGAUUUGAAGCAAUAAUUGAUUUGCUAGAAUGACAUGUAAUCGGCCGAGUCGAUUGAUCGCUGAGACGAUCCAAGUGAUUGAAUUGUUCUGAUAAUGUGAUUGUGCCUCAGUUAUUUGGUUAUCAGAAUUGCACGUGGUUGAAUUAUAUAAACUGUGCUAACCUGCAGAUGAAGGCUAGCUCGUGUCCAGACUCAUAAAAGAUUAGCAAGUGACAUUCAAACAUGACAAAAGGGACGGCUAAUUUAAACCGAGUGUGAUCGUGGACCAGGGGAAACGAGACCCUACUAUCGUGUUGGCUCCGUCUUAAAUAAAGCCAAGCAACAGAGUUCCCAGAGACAUGUGUUUGACCGCGGAUGUCCGUACCCCAUGGCCGAACGCUACCUUUUUUUCAUCAGUCCCCGUCCAGCACCCCCUUCUCUCUGCCAAAUCAGCCGCGCUCUUCUCAGCCGAAUCUUUUUUUGUUAGGUCUCUCUCUUUGCUCACUUCACUUGCUCGUCUCUCCUCUCAGCCGAAUCAUUUUGAAUUAUUUUCUUUUAUAUCGUGGCCCUUCCAGGCCGGCGGCCACGCAUGGUAUGUAAACUUUUUCAAAGUUGCAGAGCAGUCAUGUAACGGUGCGAAAGUUAGAGGGCUUUUGAGAAAUUAUCCACAAAAUUAAGAGCAAAAAAAGGGGAAUUAAAAGGAAAAUCCAAAAAAGAACGCAAGAAAAAACCCCUUCCCCGCGCUUUCUCAUACCCUAAUCGAUCUUGGUCCUCGGCAAGACCUUAAACUGCAGCGCUCCGGGGGGGACAACCCCGAUAACAAGGCCCCGCGCGGGCGGGUAAUCCCGUGCCUCCCCACCAUGGGGGCCCUGAAGGCCAUACGAGGGGUAGUCCCUUUCCUGGGGACGAAAAAGAUUCAGGUUGGGGGUAAAAGUCCAGACCCCUGGAAAAAACAGGAGAACCUGGCGUCGGACCUGAGCAGGUCCUUAAAAGGCUCAAGGGGGGCCACCCCGACAGGAGGAAUAACCUCCCAGGGGUGAGAGACCCCGCGUCGGGGCCCCCUAUUCCCGUGGGAGGGAAGAAAAAAUAAAACUACCCCCACUGCCUCGCCCGCCACAGCUCUGGAACCCAGAAGGGUAAAGGAGAGGGAUGGCACACGGUAAGGGUAGAACGGCAGCCCUCUCGGUAGCCGAACCCAGGCCCGAGACAGGACCUAGUAGCCCAAUGACCCGUGCCAGAAAGGAAACUUUCUGGGUGGCGGCGGGCGGCUUCGGAAAAAGUUCACUCCCGUCAAUUUUCCCCAAGUCGCUCCUCCUUCAUCCUCGUCCAAGAAGGAAGAAAGGAAAUGAUGAACGUGUUCAUGCCGAGGAACUUGGUGCCUCCCGAGCUGUUGGACGCGCUCCACGACGCGCUCAAGCUGAACGGAGCUGUUUCUUCCAGGGGUGGGCCCCGCGAAUUUCACGCGUUUCUUCUCCCGAUCCCGUGAGUACGUUGGGAUUGGGCGGCGCUAAGGCUUUUAGGUUCAUUUUUGAGAAUCGGGUUUGAGGUUGUUUUACGUCUUGAGAAGUUCGAGGAUCUUCAGGCGAAAGGGUGGAAGCUAGUCGGCAAAGAUCUUGUUCUCGUCCUAGUUUUAUCUUUUGGUUUUUAACUCGAGGCUGCUAAAUGCUAAACCAGAACUUGUAGUUGAGAAACGAAAGCGGAAGCAUUGGGGUCAACGUGCUGGUCAAGCAAGUCGAGAGGAGUUCUUCUGCCUGGGAAAAAAAAGGUCGAUUUCGAUGGGGGAUAUUUCGGUUUCUUGCAGGUCCGCAGUGUGUGGUUUCGUGUGCGAAAGAAGGGAGACCUCUACCUCGAAAAGGGUAUACUUGUUUGUCUUGCGAUGGAUGGUGUCGAAGUCCUUGCAUCUAGAUUUGAGAUGGAUGAGAAAGCAUGCCUGUUCCUAGAUAAGCCUGGCCUUGUAUAAUUUUUUAGGGUGUAAUCUUUGUCAUUACUCGUCUCUCGAAUUCAGUGUGGCACGACACUUAUCCUUAUCCAUGUAUCCUUCUAUGUGACCCCUUGAUUCUUUUGCCUUCAGACAUGCUUUUGUCUGAACAAAUAUGGUGGCAGCCUGUCAUCUCUCUUAUUGUUUCACCAUAUACGUGAAUCCGCUGGCUGAGAUUGAGAAAUUGGUUACUUCAACGGGGGGAGUUCUACAGACCAAAACUUCAGCAAUGUUAGCUUCGUAAUUGCAAAGAAUAUUUUGGCUGCAAAAUGCAAGGUUUAAGUCUUGGAGUUAAUAAUUUGAAUUUAGUUUAAGAGUUGCGAAUUUGUUGUAUCUUGUUAAGGUUAAAUCACCUUAGAUGAGAUUCAUUAUGCUUUUUCACUAAGUAUGGGAAGUAUCGUGGGUAGUACUCUCAUUGAGUUGGCUGAACUAAAGAAGAGUUUCCUCCAUAUUUUUUUGAAUAUUCCCUGUGCAAAGUCUUUUAUGAAUUUCAUCUUGAAAGAUAAAUUGUAUUUAUCAAUUAAUGUUGUCAUCGUGCAAUGGGCUUUAAAUGUUCUGAAGAAACCUGUUGUCGCCAUUAAUUGUUAUACCAAUGUUGUGUUGUGCACCGUGUUUUACCUCAGGAGUCUUACGAAGUUCUUCCAUUUUCUGGAUCGACAAUGUGUGUCACAGGAAUUUCUGCACAUACUGAUUAUUUGAUAUAGCUGCUGCUGUUGGUUGUCCUCCAGUUCUUCAAUUUUGAUGUCCUUCAUUAUCUUAGAUGCACAGAAGGAGAUUCAGAAGCAUAAAACAAAAUGGUGGGAAAUAUUCUGCAGAAUUGACCAGGAAGUGCACUCAUUUAAUUGCAGAAAUAACUUUUUCUUCUUCAAGAUUAAAGUCCAGUUAUUUGCUUGCAUAUUUUACCUUUGAUAUCUGAUCGCCGUGUGAAAAUGCACAUAUCUUUAUCUUGUCUUCGCAUAUGAAAAGACUUUUAAGAGUUUGAAAAGAAAAUCUGUAUCAUUUCAAGGUUUAGUGACGAUUUUAAUUUGAAAUAGGAAAUAGCUAUACUUGAUUUAAUCCUGGUUUUUGGUAUUAUCCUUUUACUUGGGAAUUUGAUUACUCAGAUGAGAAACAGUGAAACUUCCCGGCAUGAGAAUAUCAUUGACUUUGACUUCUAAAUCAGUCCUAAAGAAUUGUGUUCUGUGGUUCAAGGAAACAAGGUGUUAAACAACCUACAAUUUGAACUGCCACUUGUUAAAAGAUCCUCAGCCAGUUUUCGCUUUUCCAGUGUGAGUUAGGACUGCCUGUUGGUUGCUCAAAACACAUUGCUCAGCAAUGUUAUUACCAUUGAAUCUUUCUAUUGGCCUCAUAUAUGAUGCUCUGCAACACUGUGAGUCCCACUACGAUGCCCUUGACUGGCUGUAAGCUCCAGAAGAUAAAUACAAGGUUGCUAAAAGAUGGGGUCACAUUCAUAUUUUGAAUCGCAAAUGGUUUGAUCAAUUAACUUCCGGGAAAGGUGAUAUUUCAGUACUAAAAUACCUUGUUGCUGUCAACUGUAGGAACAUUUAAGUUCUUUUGAGCCAUCUUGUUGUCUGCUCUAAUUUUGAGUUCUUUGCCGACUAGCAUCUCUUAAUGAGGAGNNNNNNNNNNNNNNNNNNNNNNNNNNNNNNNNNNNNNNNNNNNNNNNNNNNNNNNNNNNNNNNNNNNNNNNNNNNNNNNNNNNNNNNNNNNNNNNNNNNNGUAGUCAGCAAAAUCAGUAGAGUUAUUAGAAGUUCACAGUCUCUCCCUCUCAAUGGUUGGAGAUCAGGACUUCCAUUCCAUUUCAGCUACUGACCAUGCCAAACCAGAUUUAGAAACUACUCUCUCACAGAAUGUGUCUUCAAUGUUUGUGGAUCCCCAUUUCCUUGCAAAAGAGGAUAAUAGUGAAGUGGCAGCUGUGCAAUCCAAUGGUGAAGUGAAUCAUGAUUGUUGGGUUGCUGAAGACUGAAAAUGAAGACAAUGACCUGUAUUUGUCAGAAUGUAGGUUAACAUCAUCAAAUGCUCGAUUUCCCCAAGAGUGUUCCUAAAAGAAGUGAUCUGAAACUACCAUUCAAAGUUGGCUUGAAGAUACAAAACUUGGUGAUCUGAUUUUGAAGGCAGUGGUGCCUUAAAUAGUUCUGCUUGACACAUAUGAUGACUGACUAAAGAUUAUAUCAUCGUACACUGCUUUCUCUCGUUUCAUUAUGAUUCUCCGUGCUCUUCAUGUGAACAAUGGGAAUGCUGAAAUGUUAGUAUUGCCUAAUAGGACAGUAGCUGCUGAUUCACAUGACAUUUGGCUGUCUUUCACAUAUGAUUAGUGGCUGAAGGCUGCGAUCCUUUAAAUGGCUUUGUCAGCUUGCAACUCUCCAAUUUGAGGAUACCACACACUUCAUGACAUGGGUGGCCAAUUUUGCCGAAUGAAAUCAUUGUGUUUACAUGUUAGAAGAUGACGUAUGACUAUAGUUAAUCUGUGCUAAAGACAAUCUUUCAGCUCUUCCCGCUAAUAGCAUGCAUAUAGUUUCCAGGAUGGCAUAUGCUUGUAAGUAAUAAACGGUUUCAUAUGGUUUUCUUCUGGAUCUCAUUCCUGCAUUUGCUGCUGACCUUGCAAUCUUUUGGCUGGUGAAGGUAAAGGAUCUUUUUUCUCUUCAUGUGUUGAUCCUUUGCUUUUGUUUAUUGUGCAGCAGAACCCAGGAUUUUUAAACUCGUUUUGAAAUCUUAUAUUUGUUGGUACGGGUGUCACUGAAUUUAUUCUUUUUUGUUCUUUUGUGUUUUGGGCCACUGAUGUCUUAUCCCGGUCAAUGGAUGAAAGAGGGAAGGGUCAAAGAGCCAAUAGUAUUCAUUUAUCCUAGUAUUGCUCCGGAAGACACUUGGUAGAGCACCGACGUACCUUUGAUUUAUGUAGUUUCUAUGCAAUAAAAGCCGAUAAAAUCAGAUUUUUCCAGAUCAGUCUAACGGUCCGUUAUAUGUUCAAGUUUGAUCCUCAGCAGAAGGCAAAAAUCUUGUUAGUUUUUCAUGUUACUCCUUUUAAUAGCACUCUUGUACUAUUGUUCCCUUGGAUCAAUGAAAAUAAUUGGACUAACGUGGAUUCAAUAAACUCACCAUGAGCGGAGCAAGCAUGAGAGAAGAAAACACAUAUUGAUGUAUAUUCCAAGCAACCCAUAGCUUGACAAAUCAAUGUCAGCCCUCUUCAAACCUUUCGUGAGGCUAGCAAUUGAAUGCAUCGCAUAUUCUUGUGUUCACAUUCAUGUAUCAUGAGGCUAGCAAUUGAAUGCAUCGCAUAUUCUUGUGUUCACAUUCAUGUAUCAUGAGGCUAGCAAUUGAAUGCAUCGCAUAUUCUCGUGUUCACAUUGAUGUAUCAUGACUUAUAUUAGGUCACUCCUUUUCAUUUCAAGGGAAAAAAGAAAAAAAAAUGUAUAGUUAUAGAGCAGCAAAUGCAUAGAUAAAUAAGAGUUACUUGGAGUUAAUAAUCAAAAUGAAAAGUUCAAUGCAUAUCAAAUUUACAACAAGCAUCAAAAUUUCUUAAAAUAUCUAUGAAAAACUAUGAGAACCCUAUAUCAAGUCUUACUAGAAAACACAAGUAGCCACACUUUCGUCCAAAAGCUCCAAAUUAUGAUUAGCAUUGUCCGUUGCGUCACUUAUAAAUUAAUCUUAUGCAACAUUUCCACAAUAAAGACCGGUCUCUUGUCUCGCUGUGAGCAUAACCUAAGUGUUUGUAAUUAUGAUGUCCCCUAGNNNNNNNNNNNNNNNNNNNNNNNNNNNNNNNNNNNNNNNNNNNNNNNNNNNNNNNNNNNNNNNNNNNNNNNNNNNNNNNNNNNNNNNNNNNNNNNNNNNNAGAAGAAGAAUCACAGAAUCACUCCAAAGUUGACGUUGACUACAGUCUUUUAUUAUUUAUAAUUUUUGAGUAGGUUUGUCCGCAUUUGCCUUGUCCCUUUCUUUGGUCAAAAGAGGACUUGGGAAAUGCAAUGAAGCGAGCAAGAUGAAGGAUGACUUUGACUUGCUUUCCCUCGCCUGAUGCUAUAAAAUAUGAUUAGCUAACAAUCAUGAUUUGGAAGUUGUAUGCUUUCCACAUAAAUAACCAACCGAGAUUGAUUUAAAUAUGAGUAUACAUCACCUCCUUCAUUACCUUCUUUUAAAUAUAAUUUUAGCAAGCUGCAAAUUUAAAAUAUGAAAUGAAAUAUAUCAAGCUGCUCUGAUUACAUCAUAAUUAUAUAAAAAAAAUUAUUACAAUUUUGUGAUUCAAUCCAUUAUUAAGUCGUAGUAUGGGUGAAAAUUGAAAACUAUCCGCUAGAACCGCAUUCAAUUUUUUACGCAAAUCUUCUUUGGUUCCGACAUCCAAUGACCCAGCAACACUAUGGAAGACAGAGACCGUGUUUUCUCAUUUUCACACGUGCAAAAACCAAAGAUAUUUGCAAUCCAUUUUACUUGCCAUAAACCAAAGUAAAACGUCUGUUUCAAAUUUCCCUCUCCUAGUUUUAAACAUUCAAGCUCUUUGACAUUAAGGGUGUGUUUGUCUUGUGAAAAAUGAAUUUGACAAACAUUUCCACUAAAACCGCUAACAAUAACGAAUGAGCAAAAGAUACCUUUAUGACUCACGAAAAUGUUUAGACCUAAUUUUUUGUCGAUAAUGACUAUUUCAAUGCCUCCAACGGUGAGAGGCUUUUAUUUCAAUAGGAAGGGAAAGCAAAAUGUUGUCCAUCUUCACUUUGAUUUGUGCGGCCAUGUGAUUCCACUACAAAGAGAACUAACACAAGGUGGGGGUUCGUUUGUAAAAAUAGUAAAUUUUCUCAUUGAGGACACGCAAAUCCAUGGUAAGAUUGUGUGUGUCCCUAGCACAUUGCACUCACUUUUCGAGACAAGAGAAGAAGUAAUUUUCAAUAUGAACACCUUGCAAAAGUUCCCAAGUAAAGGAGAUAAUUUCUUUUGACAAAAAAAGAAAAAAAAAAAAGAAAGAAAAGGAGAUGAUUCCGGGGCUGUUGAGGACUAGCAUCGUGUAAAAAAGUUAAUUUCCACUAUGAUUUACUUGGCCACAGAAUAUAAUAACAAAAAGAAUUAAUAAGUGAAGUCUAUAGGGGGUCGUCUUGCCAAUUUCGAGGAAAGGAUUGUUCUGGUAGUCUUGGUCAAAAAGGCAGGAAUCAAAAGAAGUAAAUAAUUGCCUCGUCCAAGAAACGCAAUCCACCACAAGUUGUCUCUACUUCUAGAUCUGAAGCACAUCGAAUCCUCUACCAGAGCGAGAGCUUCAGCUUGAAUCGGCGGAGGAAGCAAGGGAUCUUCUUUCUCGUGAAUCCAUCGAGCGGUACGCCUGAGGCCGUCGCGAAGAGCACCUGCAAUCGCUCCUUCCGAACCACCGGCUCAAAGAACCCCAUCGAUAGUUGUCUUGAGGGACGGGGUUUUCGGCGGGCAUCCAUUAACAGGUAAAAUCGACUCGAAUCGCGUCGAGUUUCCAACUUUUUAGUGUUCCGCUCGCUAUAAUUUCCGAUCGUGGACUCCGCUGAGGCGAUUAGGGUUCCUGGGUUUGGUGGCGCGGUCUUUGCUGGGAACACGAGGGUUGUUUCUGGGAUCUCCAGAUAUACCAGAGAAGAGCUGCAAUUUAAUCGAGAGAUAGUAAGUUCCUUGCAUGUUGUUGGUGAUUUUGUAGCCACUACUCGUCCUUUCUCGUGAUGUUCUGACCUGAGAUGAUCUGCAAAUUUACCUCGGCGUAUCUCCAAACGAAGCCGGUCCAGGUCGAGGCGUGAAGGUGAUCCUCGGGAUUGUGCUGCCUUUCGGAACUCAGACACAACUCGAUCUGCUUCGAGGCGACUUCUUCUCAAAAACUGACGCCUAUCACAGUGAUUUCAUCUCUGAAUACCCCCUUCUGGAGGUAAGUCCGACCUUCGUCCUCCGGUCUAUUGCAAUUGAUAGGACAAAAAUACAUUUGAUUAUUACUCACUGCUUUAUCGCCUAACAUCCUCAAAGGCCUACGGAAUAAUACAUGUGAAAUUCCCUUGGGACAAAAAGCCCGUUCGAUUAAAAUUACGAGAAUACCCUUCUAAACCCGAUUUUGUGUCCGUUGGUCCUAUGUUCACCCUAAUUGUCCAAAAUUACUUGUUUUUUUUGGUCGGAGCCAACAGUACUUAAAGCCUGAAACAUCCAAAAUACUCAAUUUUUGCAGAAAUAAUUCUUCUUUUUUCCUUGAAUACAUUUAAAAACUAGAUUUUUUCCAAAUAUCGAUCGUGCUGGUCUAUUCUCUUCAAGAGUCGCACAAAACCUUUCAAAGGGUGUGGAUCAGAAUUGUCAACAACAAAAAUUUAUCUGAACCGAUCAGGUCAACUAGAGAAUUUUUAAAUGUCCAUAAAACCAUUUUCCCUUAUAUUGGCAAUUUUUGUAAUUUCUAGAAAAUGACAAAAAAUUCAAAUGUUUUCCGGAAAUUAUGAAAAAUUCACAAUUGCACUAUUUUUUUGUGCUGGUUACAAUGGAAAUUUGAAAGUGAGCGAAGCUGCUGGUUUCAAUGAGCUUACACAUAUUUGUGGACAAUUUUUAGGUGGACUUUAUCUUAGCGGAUUGAAUUAGAGAAACUUGUCAUAAAGUGUGGUUUUCAUGCGAUUUUACUGCUUUCAACAAAGACUUUUACGUAUAUAUAGUGUAGAAAAUUACUGACCUAUGAUAGAUUUGACGAUAUGAUUUAUGCAUAUUUAGGGUGGAAGGGAAAUGUAGCAUUUACAGAGUAAGAACGACUUUGACAUAAAAUUCACAAGCCGAUUAGAGCCACAUUUAUCUGUUUAACAAAAUGUUUUAUAAGUAGAUAUGAACAGAAGUGGGCAUUCCGUACUCGGGUCCAAAUUGCGUGACUUGACUUGGCUUGCCAUUUGAAAACAAUUUAAUUGCUACCAGUCAAUCAGCCUAUCGUCUACUACUCAUUAGUCCUCUCUCUCUCUCUCUCCCUCUCUCCCUCUCUCAUUUCUUACUUUUAUGUUUCACAUUUGGCCUCUCUCUUGCACUCUCUUGCAGAACAAUUCGAGAUUAUCAUCUACUGAUUAGUCCUCACUCUCUGUCUGUUCUUUCCCUCUUAGAAGUUCUUGCCCAGACUUGUUUAGGGUCUUCUCUCGCCGAUCUCACGCCUCCCUCUGCAUCUCAACUCACGAAAGGUAAUCACUUUUUCAUCCCUUAUUAGCAUGUCGUUUCUAUUGAUUCGUCGCUUUAUUAUUGAAAUGAUAGGCCGAACUAGUAUGUUCUGGGCCCUUUUGGUCUAUUGGGGAUGUGGUGGUGGCUGCUGAAUUGCAGAGGAUGGCCUUUUAUUCUUUCUUUUGGAGUCGCUGUUACCUCCUAACGAGGAAUGUCCCCAGCUCCGAUUUGACUUCGAUGAAAAUAGAAAGCCUUUGUUCUCAACUUUAGAUGUGGCUAAUCCUAUGAUGGCCUUAUUGCCUCAUUGUUAGUUGCAUUGUGAUUCAGUAUUGAGCAUUUGUUGAACUAGAACGAGUAGGUUUGGAAAUGCGCUAGACUCUAUUGCGUGCAAAAUUGCCAUGUUUCGCUCGAAUCCAGAGACCAAUUUUUUUUUUUAUUCAUUGUGAGGCUUCUCUGUGUUUAAGGGUCCUCGAUCAAUUUAUAGAAAAAAAAAUAGUUGGGUGGUUCUGGGGUCAACUAGUUUGGUUCUCGGUUACAAUAAUGGAGACCGAUAUUAAAGAAUAAGUUCGUGAUUCUAAUUAAGAAUCUAGUCAUCUUGAAACCGAUCAUCCUAAGAGUAAGUCNNNNNNNNNNNNNNNNNNNNNNNNNNNNNNNNNNNNNNNNNNNNNNNNNNNNNNNNNNNNNNNNNNNNNNNNNNNNNNNNNNNNNNNNNNNNNNNNNNNNUGAGUAAUAUUCUAUUUUCCUUGAUUGUUGGACCAUUAAUCCUAGAAAAAAAAAAUCUAGUUGAUCUUUUGACACAAAUGAAAUCAAUCAAAUAAAUUGAGCCAUACGCGCAUAUUAGGAGAUUCACUUAGCUUUAUAUCACUAAUUUCUUACACCUCUCUGCGGUGAUAUUCUCAAGAUGGGCCCUCCACAAAAAUGGGGACAAGCACUCAACGCCAUUCUCAAGGUGGUCGACUCUGAAUUUUCCGCAGCAGCUUCCUCUUACUUCCUUCUCUUCUUCUCCUUCUUCCAUCGAAUCCGUACCUAAUUUCUAAUCAUUCAGACUAACAUGGAGAAAGAAAAGAGCGCUAUAGCUCUAAUUCCAUAGACAAGAUAUUGGAUUUGAAAAUUUGAAACAAAAGGCUCGGUGAUAACAUGCCACUAUAAAAUCAUUUUACAUAGAACUGGAGAAUGCGGUGCCGGCAUGAAAUAGAUAAAAGAUAAAUAGCCAAGAGCAUUUUUGUUUGUCUCUACCUCUCCUUUCCAACUUCAUUAAGAAUAUGACCAUUUUAAACAUAAUUAAAAUAUAAAAUCACAUCCACAAUUACUAGCUUGGUUCUUUCUCAAUGUCUUCCACGCAUUUCUAAUUUUGUUCCAACUCAAUUAUUGUCUUUUGAAUGAUUUAUCAAAUUCUGAUUUUCAAUAACCAAAAAAAAAAAAAACCAAACAUAUGCUUAUAAUUUUAAUUGAAUAUAAUAUACUCGUGCACAGAUUAUAGUUCUUUAUAGCCCAAUUGAAAAAUUAAUGAACACAUCACUCGUGAGUUAAUCAAGCCAACAAGUUUGACUUGAAUAGUGUGAGGUCCAAAAGAAGACAAGACGAGGUCUAAAAACAUCUGCAACUGCUCGUAGUCAAUCAAUUACCAAUUAAUUAAAGAUUUCAUGUUGGUUUUUUCUUGCGUGGUAACAUUCAUGUUCAUUCUUGUUCGUAGAGAUUAGUUCAUCGAUACUUUUAUGCAGCAUAAAAGCAUCUUUCAUUUUCUUUUUAACUUUAAAUUCACCAAAUUCAUAAUUCAAAUGGCUUCGGAAAUUAUGAAAAAUUCACAAUAUUACCAUUUUUUGUGCUGGUUACAAUGGAAAACUUGAAAGUGAGCAAAGCUGCCGCUUUCAACGUACUUGCACAUAUUUAAUAUGUGGACAAUUUUUAGGUGGACUUUAUCUUUGUAGAUUGAAUUAGAGAAACUCAUCAACGUACUUGCAAACAAUUUGAGACUAUUGUCUACUGAUUAGUCCUCACUCGCUUUCUCUGUUCUUUAUCCCUCUUGAAAGUUCUCGAUGGAUUUGACAGUAUGAUCUAUCCAUGUUUAGGGUGGGAGGAGAAUGUAGCAUUUACAGGAGUAAGAACGUCUUUGAAAAUAAUAUAAUGGAAGAUUCACAUGUCGGUUAGAGCCACGAUUAUCAGUUUAACAAAGUAGUUUCUAAGUAGAUAUGAAUAGAAGUGGUCAUCCGUACUGUGGUCCAAAUUGUGUGGCUUGACUUGGCUUGCCACCUGAAAAUGGUCCAAAUUGUGUGGCUUGACUUGGCUUGCCACCUGAAAACAAUUUUAUUGCUACAAGACAAUCAGCCAUAUUCCAUAGAUAAUAAUUCGAGACUAUCGCCUACUACUAAUUGGUCCUCUCUCUCUCUCUCUCUCUCUCUCUCUCUCUCACUUUAUCAUUUGCAUGCGGCCUCUCUCUUGCAAACAAUUUGAGACUAUUGUCUACUGAUUAGUCCUCACUCGCUUUCUCUGUUCUUUAUCCCUCUUGAAAGUUCUCGCCUAGGCUUGUUUACAGUUCCUCUCUCUCUGAUCUUGUGCCUCGCUUCACACCUCAGCUCACUUGUGAUAAUCACUUUUUGAUCUCUUAUUAGCAUCUCGUUUAUUUUGAUUUUGUCACUUUAUUAUUGGAAUAAUCGGUUGAACAAAGUGCGCUCUGGGCCCUUUUUGUCUAUUGGGGAUGCGGGGGUGGUUACUGAAUAGCAUAGGAGGGUCUUCUAUUCUCUCUUUUGGAGUCGCUGUUGCCUAUUGAACGAGGUAUGUCCCCGGCUUAGAUUUGACUUCAGUGAAAAAAGGAAAGCCUUUUGUUUUCGACUUUAGAUGUGUCUAAUCCUAUGAUGGCCUUGCUGUGUGAUUCUUACUCACAUCGUAAUUCAGUAUUAAUCUUUUGUUGAACUAGAGCGAGUAGGUCUGCAAGUGCACUGGACUCUGUUGCGCGCAAAUUUGCCACAUUUCGGUUGAAUUCAGAGACCAUUCUAUUUUUCUUUUGCAUUGUGAGGUUUCUCUAUGUUUGAAGGUCCUAGAUCAAUUUAUGGAAAACUAAAUCAGAAAAAUAAAAUUAGGCUGGUUCCUGGGUCAACUAGUUUGGUUCUCGGUUAUAAAAGAGGAGAACCAAUCAUUACAUAAUAAGUUCCUAAUUCUUUGUUUAAUACCCACUUAUCCUGAAAUUAUUCAUCCUAAGAGCAAGUCUUCUCUUAAGGAGACUUCAUUCAACAAAUUUACCUCCCUCUAGAACAUUCCAAAUGAGUAAUAUCCUGUUUUACUCGAAUUGUUGGACCAUUAAUCCUAGAAAGUGUAUUCGCUUUCUCCUCUAAUUCAUUUUCUCCCUUCUUUAGCAAGAAAAAAGAAAAUAAAAAUCAUUUUCUCACUUCAAAGCUUCAAAAGUUGACCAAGUCUUUACUUGAAAAAAAGAAAAGUAAAUGAGGAAUUAAAAAGUACGGUGAGAGUUUAAGCAUUUUAACUAUAUUGCUACAUUUUACCUGCUCACAACUCAUUAUAAUUUCAAUCACUGCAAUAUAAAACAUACCAAAGUCCAUAGAAUGAUACUUCUUAAGAUCUUUUACAUGAUAUCCAAUAGUAAGAAAAAAAAAUAUAAAUCGAUCUUAUGACACGCACACGAAAACAAUAGAAUAAAUUGAGCCAUACACGCAUAUUGGGAGAGUCACCUAGCUUUAAAUCACUCAUUUCUUGCACUUCUUUCUUUACAAACAAUAAAUUUAUUCUUCAAAAUGUGAUUAUCAAUUUAACCUGAAUUAUCACAAAUUUACCCAAUUAUCCUAUUCUACUUCCAUUUCAAGUCAUUCCUUUGCAGGGCUUCUUGUGUCUUUGUGCUUGUAUCCAAUAAUCUCAAUAAGAAGAAAAAAGAGUGCAUAAAAAGAGAGCACUAAGGAAGCAUCCGCUCCUCCAUUUUGUGCCAUCCAACAAAUUAUAGCUCUAUUUUAUAGACAAGAUAUCAAUCAACUUUAUAGAUUUGAAAAUUUGAAAUGAAAGGCUCGGUGAUAGCAUACUAAUUCAAAAUAAAUUCAUUUUACAUGGAAUUGCAGCAUGUGGUGCCAAUGUGAAAUAGAUAAAAGAUAAAUAACCACGUUCAAUAAUCUCAAUAAGAAGAAAAAAGAGUGCAUAAAAAAAGAGCACUAAGGGAGCAUCCGCUCCUCCAUUUGGUGCCAUCUAACAAAUUAUAGCUCUAUUUAUAGACAAGAUAUCAAUCAACUUUAUAGAUUUGAAAAUUUGAAAUGAAAGGCUCGGUGAUAGCAUACUAAUUCAAAAUAAAUUCAUUUUACAUGGAAUUGUAGCAUGUGGUGCUAUCGUGAAAUAGAUAAAAGAUAAAUAACCACGUUCAAUAAUCUCAAUAAAAAGAAAAAAGAGUGCAUAAAAAGAGAGUACUAAGGGAGCAUCCACUCCUCAUUUUGGUGCCAUCUAACAAAUUAUAGCUCUAUUUUAUAGACAAGAUAUCAAUCAACUUUUUAGAUUUGAAAAUUUGAAUUGAAAGAUUUGGUGAUAGCAUACUAAUUCAAAGUAAAUUCAUUUUACAUGGAAUUGUAGCAUGUGGUGCUAGCGUGAAAUAGACAAAAGAUAAAUAACCACGAGCAUUUGUUUAUCUCUACCUCACAUUUCCAACCUCAUUAAGAAUAUGACAAUUUUAAACAAAAUUAAAAUAUAAAAUCACAUCCACAAUUACUAGCUUGGUAUUUUCUUGAAGUCUUUCACACAUUUCUACUUCUGUUUCAACUCAAUUAUUAUCUUUAAAUGAUUUAUUAAAUUCUGAGUUUCAAUAACUAAAUAAAAACCAAACGUAUGCUUAUAUUCUUAAUUGAAUGCCAUAUGGUUGUACACGAAUUCUAGUUCUUUAUAGCCCAACUGAAAAAUUAAUGUACACGGUACUCGUGGGUGGAUCAAGCCAACAAGUUUGACUUGAAUAGUUUGAGGUCCAAAAGAAGAUAAGGCGGAGGCUAAAAGCAUCUGCAACUGCUCCUAGUCAAUCAAUUACCAAUAAAUUAAAGAUUUCAUGUUCGUUUUUCCUUGUGCGGUAACAGAUUUAUGUUUGUUAUUGUUCAUGGAGAUUAGUUCAUCGAUCAUUUUUAUGCAGCAAAAAAGCAUCUUUUGUUCCAAUUUUCCCCCUCAAAUUGCCAUACAUUUUUCAUUCCCUUUUUAGCUUUCAAUUCAUGUUCAUGAAAUUUUCCAUGUGUCGUGAAUUCAUAAUUCAAAAGCCUUUUGGACAUUACUUCUAAAUAUCGCUGCUUCCUUAUAAAAGUAAGCCUAGACACUUCAUUUCCUUCUUUUCUAUGUUUUUCCCUAAUUUAUCUUUUAUUUUUUAAUAUUUCACAUUCUUCUUUUAUCAUUGUUUUGCUGACUUUUCAAGAGUUGAAUGAUAUGCCGACAAAAUUGUAAUAAAAAAAAAUGACCCGGAAAAGAACUCAAGGACAGUGUACAAGUAUUUCAUAUAUCAUUGGUAACUUAAUACUAUCGUGUUAUGCUCAUUUGGUGUCAUUUAACAAAUUAUAACUCUAUUUUGCAGACAAUUUACCAAUCAAUAAUUUAAAUUUUAAAUUUUGAAGUGAAUAGCUUGGUAACAUCUUAUCAUAGAUUCAUCUUAUAUAAAAUUAUUGGCUUGUGGAGCCAACACGAAAUAAAUAAGAGAGAAAUGACAAAGACCAUUUGUUCAUCUCUACCUUGCAUUUCCAACCUCAUUAAGAAUAUGACAAUUUUAAAUAAAAUUAAAAUAUGAAAUCACUAAAUUUGGACGAAAACAUCAAAGAAGUGAAGCAAACGACCCGAAACAAAUAGAGAGGCAACAUUCACACAAAAAGAGAAAAGAACAUAGGAGGGAGGGAGAACAAAGACGGUCUAAGAUUGAUUGAAGGGAGGGGUACCUUGUUCCAAGCCAUUGGAAGAGAGAAGAGAGAAGCUUGAAUUUUCUUGGAGAAAUAAGUUAAAAGUCGUCGAAAUAUUUUGGAUACAUGUUGGGUGGAAAUGACGUAAAUGGAACUUAGUUUCAUUGAUAGACUUAAUUAUCGUUCAUUCUAUUCAUCCUUAAAAAGGAAGUAAGGCCAAUUGGAAGAAAACUGCACUUUUUGCAUUUCCUCUCAUUUCUAUGCACUUAUAGAAAGAAAUAGAAUGUGGGCUCAAAAGGAAGUAUUUCCCUUUCAUUUAGAAUCAUUUUCAUCAACUUCCUUCAUAAUCAAACAACUGAUCAAUUGAAAAUUUUUCCUCGAUUAAUUUUUUAGAUUUAGUUAAAAUGCCUAAAACUUGAAACCCGCCAAANNNNNNNNNNNNNNNNNNNNNNNNNNNNNNNNNNNNNNNNNNNNNNNNNNNNNNNNNNNNNNNNNNNNNNNNNNNNNNNNNNNNNNNNNNNNNNNNNNNNUGGGUAACAAUUACAUGACACUCAUUAGUUUGGCCAAUGGACAUGGGAUUAGACAGAAAGGGUUGUGAAAAUGAGGUGGUGGAGAUAGUUAGGGUUGUUUAUUUAUUAGGAUAAAAAUAAUAACAGUAAGGUCGAAGAUCAUGACAAGAAUUAGGCAUCGUGUGAGCUUUAUUCAGAGGAAGAUGCUUCCAUAAAGUUCCAUACAUAAUAUCAAUAUCUUACCUUGAACUGAAAGAAUCCGCCUUUAAAUAUCAUACACAUACGUGAAGUUCCGUAGUUUUUCAAAUGUGCUUUAAGUAAGUCGAUUAAUUACAAUGCAAUUUGUGUAAUUUCAAAUUUGUGUUUCUAAACAAGUAAAUGAUGUGGGCUUUUUGGGGGCCUCUUCAGGGCCACCUAAUCUUCUGCAAUGAAACGAGUUAGCUUACUUAACUGAAGGUUGUGUCUUUAUUACCUAGGGAAUUAACGAACCCAUUAUUUGAAGCCAACAAGCAUUUGCAGAAAAAGCAUCUUUCGUUGUUCAACAAUCCUUUUAAGCAGCAAAAAAAGCAUCUUUCUUUUCAACUUUCCCCCUCAGAUUGCCAUGGACAGAGGGCAGACUCAGGGAAAGAGAAAGAGGGCAGAGGAAGAGAGCACCGAAGGAGCAGCCACUUCUUCUUUCAUCCCUCUAGAAGCCACAUGUGUAGGUAGCGGUCAAUACGAAGUGUUCUUGAGCUUUAGAGGCUCAGAUACCCGCAAUACAUGUCACGCCCCGAUCCUCGGACGCGCGCACAUCCUUCUACUUGGUCGAUUUUAUAAUGCGAUAUCCCAGGACUAUGUAUCGCCGACCCUUCUUUUAUUAAGCACACGCGNNNNNNNNNNNNNNNNNNNNNNNNNNNNNNNNNNNNNNNNNNNNNNNNNNNNNNNNNNNNNNNNNNNNNNNNNNNNNNNNNNNNNNNNNNNNNNNNNNNNNNNNNNNNNNNNNNNNNNNNNNNNNNNNNNGCAUAAAAGUCUCACACCUAUCUAUACCAAGACAGGGUUCACAAAAGGGAUGGGAUCUCAAUCCACAUCCGGGUUACAUUCAAGAUCCCUCUCUGGAUCAUCUUCUUCUUCAAAAGUCUUCCUCCCCUUCAGGUUCCCCUUCCUUAGCUUCUCCUCAGGGUCCUGAAAUGGUUAUUCAAUAACCAAUGAGACCACGUCUCAGCGAGUCCUACCCACUAAGACUCGAUUAAUAAACUAAUACGCCAUCCGGUUGCCUAAGCACAACACGAGUCAGAGGACUUACCUUAGCCUCAGUUCCAACCUGCAAUUCAAGGUUAAACAUAGAUAUUCAAACAAUUCACGACAUCCGAUCAAGCAUUGAUCAAUCGACUAAGUCGAUUACAUGUCAGCCAGACCCUUUCUAGGUCAUUCCCACUCAUACCACACUUUCUCAGUGGUGUACUCAUUCACCAAAUCACAUGUGUUUCUUGGGCGUCGUUUUCGCCAAUGACAUACCGAUCACCGACACCGUGCGUUCUUUAAGGCGCCGUUUUCACCAGUGAUAACCUUGAUCACCGAACCACGUGUCUCUCAAGGGCGCCGUUUUCACCAGUGAUAUUCCCAUAAUCACCGAACCACGUGUCUAUAAGUCAUUUACGUGCGUUCUUUAAGGCGCCGUUUUCGCCAGUGAUACUUCUAAUCAACGUACUGGCGCUAUAUACCCAUGCUUGGCCAUUACCAAUCAAAUAUUCAAUAACAAACAAUUUAGGACACUUCCUAAAAUUCCACAAUAAAUUCAAUUCCACACAACGUAGAACUCAAAUAAAUAAACGGUCUGCACCACAACAAUCGGCACGAAAUUCCGGUCACCGGCCAUCCCGGUUGAAUUUCCGGAAAAAUAAUUAAUUAAAUAAAUAAAUUUCGAAAAUAAAUAAAUAAACAUUAAAAAUCCAAUUUAGANNNNNNNNNNNNNNNNNNNNNNNNNNNNNNNNNNNNNNNNNNNNNNNNNNNNNNNNNNNNNNNNNNNNNNNNNNNNNNNNNNNNNNNNNNNNNNNNNNNNNNNNNNNNNNNNNNNNNNNNNNNNNNNNNNNNNNNNNNNNNNNNNNNNNNNNNNNNNNNNNNNNNNNNNNNNNNNNNNNNNNNNNNNNNNNNNNNNNNNNNNNNNNNNNNNNNNNNNNNNNNNNNNNNNNNNNNNNNNNNNNNNCGGAGACCGAAUCACCGCAACGGCGACGCGACGGCGGCCGAAAUCGGACUUUCGACGACACCGGCGUACUUGGACCGGGCCUUGGACUUGGCCCCAACAAAUCUCAGCCCAACUGAGAUUUGUUUCUUGCUUUUGGGCCAGACCCAAGUUGAAUUGGGCCUGCUGCGAAGAUGGGCUUCAAGCUAUGGGCUGAGCUGCAAUUGAUUUGCUGAAAAUUGGGCUUGGCCAAUUAACUCACAUGGGCUGGACUGGGCUUGAACUUGGGCCAAACUGAUGCCGAUCACUUGGGCUAGAAUAAAACUAAACUGGGCUGUCUUUGUUGGGCCCAAAAGAAAUUCACUGAGCUUGGAGACUGCUGGACUUGCGGUUGAACUCACGAAGGAGUUGGGCUUCGCUGGCCUCGCUAGCUUCGUUGGACGCUGCUCCGUUAGCAAAUCAAAGGGGCGGGUUGUUGGAGUUGACCGGUUGAUGCUGCCUUCGGUGAAUUGAUUUGAAGGCACGAAGGAAGACCGAAGAUGGGUGGUCUUCGCUAGGGUCUUCAAGUCGUUGAAGUCCUCGGACGUGCGGCUUCUUCAGUCAACGGCGGGGCUUCUUCUGAUUUCGCUGUUGACCGAGCGUGCUGGCUGAAGACAUGAAGCGGUGGAGAUGACUUCCGCAGCUACUGGACGCAUGGAGGGGGUCUUCAAGCGGUCAACCAAGAGCUUCAAUUGAAGCUGUUGUUGACCGAACCAGGCGUACACACUGCCAAGUGGCAGCAAGCUCGGCAGAAUGGAGCGGGCGUCGUUGCUUGCGGAGAAGGCCGUUCGGUGUCACAGAGACAAACGAAAGUGGGCUUUGCUGGCAGGGAGAUUUCGGUGUAUUGCGGCUUCGCAUGGGGCAGCUUCAGUAAGUCUUCACGCUGCUGGAGAAGACACGAAGCUCUGCACGCGAUUAACGAUCUUGUUGCUGCUGUUGUCUCGGUCCUCAAGCGGCAGUAGUUCUCGGCAGAAUGGAGAUUGUCGCACAAAGAAAUGAGAAGGGAGGGAGAGAGGUAGUUCACGGCAGCAAGAUGGAGAGGAUGAGGAAGAGUUGGGCUCCACUUGGUUGGAUAUUUCACAAAAUAUCUUCCAAAAUCAAUCUUGGCCAUGUAAGAAUACUUGGCCUUCAAUAGGCCAUCAAAACACUCUCUUCUAGAAGACCAAGUGGUCCAAAGGUUGUGGCUAGGUGGGGGUACACGAAUUUGGGAGAGAUGGCUUAACUUGCACAACCAUUCUCUCCAAAUUGAGGUCCAAUUUUGAUGUAGAAAAAUCCCAAAUGAUUUUCUAUAAUUCCCCGACACACAAUGGCUCAACCCGAAAGUCAAAUUUCCCAUUAAUUUAGCCAAUCCGAACUUCGGCCAAACUUCCACGACGUCCGAACCCAAUUUCCGUAAAAAUCUCGGGACCUCCGAAAAAUCUUCUGAGACCGAGUUGACGUUCCUAAAAUAGCUUGUGACAUCACUGAACUUUCGAUUUCUGAAAUCUGACUCAAAUCGACGGUUAAUUUCACUCCGGCGUGCUUUUAGUGUGACCUAGACUACUGGGUAGUUUUCAGAACUUUUUAGGGCAAUUGACUCGUGGUCGAUUUUCUUCGAGCCACAAUGAACCCACUCGACACAUUGGCGACUCUCAAUUGUCGUGAAAAUCUCGAGGGCUCGAUUACCAACACAGGGUACCAAAACGACAGAAAAUCAAAUUAGUGCCAGUCGACGAGAAUUUUCCAAUUUAGUGGAGUCACCCACGAUCGGCCACACAUCUCAGUCGAACCGACCUAUCUCUGAUCUCAAUUCGAUCUUUAACUGUGCAGUAAUGACCUCUAAAGAUGAACACGGUCGAGAAGCCGCUUCCUGGUCGAAUUCUCAAGUCUAUUGCCUUAAUAUUCUUUAAUGGCAUACCCAGCUAGUCCAGUUAUCUCGAGAGUGAUCAGCUCUGAGAACAACCCUAUAGACACGUCAAUGAAAUGCCCGAUUAAUUUAAUAGAAAACAAUACUAAAAAUUCUGGAUGUCACAAUACAUUCACCGAUCACCUCUAUCACCGUCUGAUCAAGGCAGGGACUGUACCGUUUUGCGUGUUUAGGGACGAGAACAACAUCCAAAUUGGUGAGGAAUUUGGUUCAAAGAUUCUCGAUGCCAUCGCACAGUCUAAGAUUUCGAUUCCCAUCAUCUCCGAAAAUUAUGCUUCGAGCAAGUGGUGCCUCCACGAGCUCGUUCAUAUCAUGGACCGUAAGAAGAGUGCGUCACACAUAGUGUUGCCUAUAUUUUACAAAGUUGCCCCAUCGGAUGUACGGCAUCUAAAAGGAAAUUUUGGAAAUGCCUUCCACUCGAGUCAAGAGCGUUUUGAUGAGAAGGAGAUCGCGAAAGGGCAACAAGCACUAAAUGAAGUUAGUCAAUUAAAUGGAUGGGAAUCUCAAAAAAUUGCGAACGGGUAUUUUACUGAACUUUCCUUUUUUGAUAAGUAAGUUUUCUUCUUUUGGUAGAAUCGAGGAAAUGCAAAUGAAUUACUUUUACUACAAGCUCAGAAAAGAUCCCCAAUGACAACAAACACCAGCACUCCCCAAGAUGUCCCUGAAAACUAAACCAAUGACAACUGAAACCAAAGCAUCCUAUAGUGCCCAAGAAUUUAAAUUUUCCUCUGGAAUAGAGCAAAAAAAAAAAAAAAAGAAACGACAAUAUCUCCAGCCAAUGGUAUCAAUCACUAAACAAUAGGCCUCCAAAUGACUCCAAUGCUCGAUCUUCAAAGCUNNNNNNNNNNNNNNNNNNNNNNNNNNNNNNNNNNNNNNNNNNNNNNNNNNNNNNNNNNNNNNNNNNNNNNNNNNNNNNNNNNNNNNNNNNNNNNNNNNNNCUCUCAUUGUUUUUGUGUUUGACAGCCACGAGGGAAAUUAAUAGUAACGUGUGUUGAAACUGUUUUAAGCAAGUUACAGGAAGAUUUCAACUUGAUGUGCCAGAGCAACUAGUUGGACUUGAUCAUCGUACGAAGGAAAUUAUGAAUUGGAUCGACAAUUCUUCCAUCAAUGCUCGAAUGAUUGGAAUUUACGGCAUGGGUGGGAUAGGCAAGACAACUCUUGCCAAGUGCAUCUACAAUCAACUCUCAAAUAAAUUUUCGCAUGUCAGCUUCCUUCCAGAUGUUCGAGAAACUUCCAGGCGCCACGGUGUUACAUAUUUACAGAGUCAACUUGUAUCGGAUUUACUAAAUGAAAAAACCAAAGUUUCUAGAAUUGAUGAUGGAAUUAAUAUAAUCAAAUCUAGAUUCAGACAAAAAGAGGUUCUCAUUCUUUUGGAUGAUAUAGACGACAAGAAUCAACUAGAUGCAUUGGUUAGGAAACAUAAUUGGUUUAUGGCAGGAAGUUUGAUCAUUGUUACCACUAGAAACAAAGCUGUUCUUGAUCAAUCUGAAUUUGAGGUAGACUACAAGUAUGAAUUGAAUGAAUUGGAUAAGGUGCAAGCUUUGCUUUUGUUUAAUAGACAUGCAUUUCGUAAGGACCAUUGUCCGGGGGACUUUGAUGGCAUAUCUCGUGAUAUCAUAUCCACCAUGGGUGGGCUUCCCUUGGCACUUCAGGUUGUAGGUUCAUACUUGUAUAGGAAAGAUCGAAAAGUAUGGGAAGAUGUGCAGAAAAAAGUAAAAAACCAACCAGAUAGAAAUGUCCAAAAGAUAUUACAAAUAAGUUAUGAUGCAUUAGAAGAAGGACAUAAGCAGAUUUUUCUCGAUAUCGUUUGUUUCUUAAUUGGCAUAGAUUACGAUGACGAAGCUGCACGACUCGCCAUGUACAUGUGGGAGGACUGUGGGUUUUAUCCAAGUCAAGGAAUUGAAGAGUUGAAGUUGAGAUGCUUAAUUAAAAUUGGAGAUUAUGGUGAGUUCAAGGUGCAUGAUCAACUGAGAGAUCUUGGAAGGAGCAUUUUUUGCGAAGGACAACCGCUUGAGAAACGUAGUGGACCAUGGGAUGAUGACUAUGAGGGAGUCCCAAGUGUACUAAGACAUCUAGAGGUAAAAUAUGGCACUCUUUUCUUUUUCUCUCCCUCUUAUUUUAAUCAAUUUAAUAUGAUCUAUUCUAAUAUUUCAUUGAGCGGGAAAUAAUGCUCUUACUUUCUAGGAAAAAAAAUAUAUUUAAACAUCCAUUUAUGUCCAUCGUACAUUAACCGUGACACUAAAUAAAUCGCAAGUAUCUCAGGGAUGAAAAAGUAAUAUCAUUGAUUCAAUUUCAUUGUUAUGCAUUACAUAUGAAAAAAUUUAAUUGACAAUCAAUUUAAGAUCCUUUAACUACAAUUUUAGACUAUAAAUCUCAUUUACUUAAAGCAUGCAAUUGUCAUAUCUAUUUGAAAAUAUUGAUAAUUAGAAGGACUAUAAUUAUGAAUGAAGAUGAAGUAUAAACAUUAAGAUCAAAUAAGUGAAGAUUUCCUGGUUAAAAAAGAAAGGAUAGUAUAAUAACCAAUAAUUAAUUCAAAACUAAGAUUGGAAAAAAAUUUCACGUGUAUCACAUAUGUUUGCUUUCUAUUAUGGCCAAAUGUAUUGUGGUGCUCUUGUGAUUUAGGAAUCGAAUGUUUGAUAUUUUUUUCUCCAUUUUGAUUUGGAAGAUACCGUCCCAGAUCUAUCUGUUUUCAUUCUUAUUUCCUCUUAAUAGAUAGCAAAAAUCUCCUUAAAAAUAUAUACAAGAAAAUCUUACUGUUUUUUAAGGAUCUAUCGCAUUGGCCUUGCUCAUUUCAUGGAUUAGGUAAGGUCUAGGUGUAUAAGAAAGAGUGGAUUUCCUUAUAACAGACAUUUCUAUCCUCUAUAAGUUGUUUAAUAUUAUUUAUAUUUUUUAGGACAAUGCCUCUUUUGUGCGAGAAUUCGCUGGACUAACUUGACUAUUUUAAAUUAAAAAAAGAAAAAUUGAUUAAUCGGAGGAAAUGUCAUGCUUAUUAUUAUAUCCAUAACCUUGUAUUCAUCAUGUAUGAUUUUCAGCAUGAAGCCAAUUUUCUCAAAUAUGUUUUAUCUUUUACUUAAAUUAUCAAUGUUCAUGUCAUUUUAUUAUAUAUUGUCCAUCUGAAAAGCUUCACAGGCUCAUGGCUGAUCAAUGGCAAUGAAUUAACCCUAGAAAUUGACCAAGAGAUGUUGGGCAAACAAAGCAGCUUUAUAUUCUUGAUAUAAUUUGAAAUAGUUCGUUCCUAUGAUUUAAUAUCAGUCUCUUUUGUUGAUCCAAUAACUUCUUAACAUUAGCAAAAAGAGCACACCAUUUAGGUGUUUGAAAAAAUGAAAAAGAAGAGUCAAUUCUGUUUUGAAUGGAUAAAAAUGCUGAAAGAUGAUAAAUAGCGUCGAAAAAAAUGAAAUUAUUGUACAAUUCGAGAGAUUUUGAUUUAACUUUGGAAAUUGAAAUACUUAUGGGACUAAUUUCCAAUUGACUACUUCAAAUAUGAUUAUUUCUAUUUUGUUAUAUCUUAUUUCUUUAGUUCAUUUUGGUGAAAUAUAUGCGAAUUGUGUGGAAACUUUUGACGAAAGUUUGAGGUUUGAAAUCCCAUUUCCAUACAAUAGAUUUUUUUAAUGUAAUACAUAGUAUAGAUUGAUGUACGAGUGAAAAUUAUUAAAGAUAGUGUGGGAUGGUGAUUACAACAAUUUAGCGACUUUCAGACGAAUAGACUUAAGAGAAUUUAUACCCAUUGCAUUUCACUCGUUAAUAUUUAAAGCGGAUAUAACGACACACGUGUCUAACCAUAAAUGUGAAUUUCUAACCAAUUAAACUUUUGGGGGAAAAUAUAGGCAUUAUUAUAAAGUCAAAUAAAGCCAUAAGGAAAUUUCUUUCACCGUCUGCAACUAAUUAAAUGAUCUGUUUUAGUAGGAAAGUUAAACAGUAUGUUUUUUGAUUUAUAAGAUGGAAAAAGAAACGAUGCUAUUCUUAUGGAAACCAACGUAUGAUGAUUAAACAAUGUUACCACGACACUUUUUAGUUAAUCGGUUCAUUUUCUAGUUAUUCUGAAAGCGACUUAUUUUUUUCAAUCCUGGUCAAAACUACUAACCAAUGUCGCCACGUCACUUUUUAAACAAACUUUACCCAAAAAAAAAAAAAAUCAUUUCGAUUGUCAAAGAAAUGAGUAAACAUUCCGCGCAAAUAGUUAAUGACGUUAAAGAUAUUUAGAUACCUUCUAGAGAUAAUGAUAUGUCUUUUUAAUUUUCUAUAUCUAUUUUGAUAAUGCAUAUCAUAUUUGAUUUCUUUUGAUUUCCCUCCACGUAAACUUUUCUAUAUAUCUGAAUAUAUUAAAAAUUCCCCUCUUUUUUUUCUCUUCCACAUUAUUACAUUUAACUAAUGAAAUGAAAAUAGGGUGAUUCCUUAGCUACUUACAGGUGGCCCGUCGACACUCUUUAACAAAUUCUUUUAAAAAUUAUAAGUCAUUUAAAAAUUUACAAAUAAACAUUUAUACGUUGUAAACUAGUUUGAUGUAUUUCUUCUUAAAUGAAAGUGAAAAUCCAUGCGCUACAAAAUUUUGAAAAAGAAGAAGAAACAAGAGAUAAAACAUUGAGGUGCAUUUGCUUCAGUUGUUUUAAAGCAAUAAUUAUUUUUUUCUUUAUCUUUGCGUCAUUUGUUUAACUUUCAAAAGGUCGUAAAAGAAGAAGAAAUAAAUGUGAGUUUACAUAUCCAUACAUGUACAGGGGAAGGAUAAAAAGGUAAUCGUGCAAAUUCAAGAUUUAAAAAAAGCAAAAACUAAAAAGUGAAAAAACUUGCAGAGACGCCCCUGGUUCCACGGCUUUUUGGGGGCAGCUUCUAGCGGAGAUUUCAAGUUUUCUGAAGUGAGAUGGCGUGAGUGGGACGUUCGUGGAAACGAUGCGUCUCUUUCGACGAUCAACUUUCAUUUGCCAAAAUUAUCGGUGCUGAGCUUAUGGGAGGAUUGGGAAGGAAUCGCAAAGGAUUGGAGAAUCACAGAGAAUUGGGAAGAAUGGAAUUCAUUAAUGGUAAGAUUGGGAAAAGAAUACAUCCUCUCUGCGAUCUUGAGGUUUGUUUUUUUGUUUAGCCAAUCAACUCCUCAUUUGACGGAUUAUUCCCCUUUUGUAUUAGGCGUCAAAGCAGCUUAAAGUUCUCCGCGUUAAAUGGUGUAAUAAUUUAAGAUGUACUCCUGAUCUCUCAGCUUUUACGCGGUUGAAAAUUCUCGUAUUGAGCGAUUGUGAUGGAUUGGAGCAUCUCUACCCUUCUAUUGGCGAGCUCACAAGCCUCGUUACCUUGGACUUGCGUUUCUGUAGAGGUCUCAAGGAGCUACCAGAGGAGGUGGGUGGAUUAAAAGAUUUAGAAGAACUUCUUUUAGAUGAAUCUCGUAUUACAGCAAUUCCUUCGUCUAUUGGUUCUUUGAGGAAAUUGAAGACACUGAGUGCCGAGUGGUGUAAGUCACUGAGAGAAAUCCCCAGCUCAAUUGGGGAUUUACGGAAUUUGCAACAUCUUAACUUGGGAAGUACUGCGAUCGAAAAGCUUCCCAGUGCUAUUGGAGGGUUGAAAAAUCUGCAGAUUCUAAAUCUCAGCUGGUGCAUAAGUUUGAAAGGGGCAAUUCCAAGUGAAAUCGGUGACUUGCCUUCCCUCGAGACUAUCUAUCUCAAUCUCACACUGAUAUCUGACCUGCCAGAAAGUGUUCGGAAUCUGUCUUCUCUCCAAAGCCUUUACCUAGAGGAUUGUAAGGAGCUCUGGUCGCUGCCAGAGCUUCCUUCUUCUCUCCAACGCCUUGAACUAUUGGGCUGUGAGAAGCUCCAGUCACUACCAAAGCUUCCUUCGAGCUUAACAUCGCUGCGGGUCACUUGUCAGAGUCUUGGACUGCCUCAGCUUUUUGGCCUCAUCCACCUAGAAGAACUCCAACUUGAGGUGCGCCAUUUACUUGAAGACAUCCGCGAGCUUUCCUCAAUAACACUGAAACUCUGUUUUGAGGAGUGGGAUAAGCUGACAUCACUUAAGCUCGUAUGGCUCACGCACUUGGAAGAGCUUUCAAUAAAAAAAGUGCAAUUCCAUUAAAACAUUGAGCUUUUCAGGAUUGAUUCAUCUGAAACGAUUACACAUCGAGCAUUGCUAUAGCCUAUCUAGAAUUCAGAAUUUUGAUAGUUUCAAGUCCUCGGAGGUCAUGUUUUUAUAUGACGACAUUUCCAUUAAAAGGCCAUUCCAUCCAAAAUCAGAGUGUUUGAAGAAAUUAGUGGCUGUUGGGUGCGACAAUCUAGUCAGAAUUGAAGGUCUUGACAGUGCGAAGUUCUUAGAAGAGUUGGACUUUACAGGAUGCAAAUCAAUGGGGACUUUGCCAGAUUUGACAGGAUGUGAGAAGUUACAAUCUCUAAGAGUUAAAGACUGCAAGAAACUUACUAAGCUUAAGGUACUUGAAAAGUUGAAUUUAAUUGAUUUGGAUAUUUCUGGUUGUGACUCAUUGGUAGAGCUUUCAAUAAAAAAGUGCAAUUCCAUUAAAAGAUUGGAGCUUUCACAAUUGUUUCGUCUGAAACAAUUACGCGUUGAGCAUUGCGAUAGCCUAAUUGGAAAAUGGGGCUAUGAUGAAUUGGAGUCCUUGGAGGUCAUAUUUUUAUAUGACUGCAAUUCCAUUAAAAGGCUUUUCCAUCCAAAAUCACGGUGUUUGAAGAAAUUAGUGGCUGUUGGGUGCGACAAUCUAGUCGAAAUUGAAGGUCUUGACAGUGCGGAGUUCUUAGAAGACUUGGAUUUUACAGGAUGCAAAUCAAUGGAGACUUUGCCAAAUUUAACAGGAUGUGAGAAAUUACAAUCUCUAAGAGUUCGAGACUGCAAGAAACUUACUAAGCUUCAGGGACUUGAAAAGUUGAAUUUAAUUGGUUUGGAUAUUUCUGGUUGUGACUCAUUGGAAGCAAUACCUAACUUAUCUGGAACGCGCAUCUUUAGAAAUUAUGAACUAACUCCUCUGUUUUUACCGAACUUAUCUGGAACUCGCAUCUUUAGAAAUUAUGAACAAGAUCUGUCUUUUGAUUGAUGGAGUGAUGUUUCCUGAAUAGAGGUAAAUAAGCAAUGAACAAUCAUUUUUCGUUUGAAAUUCAUGACCUACUUUUCAUCACUAUCUUCUUUUGACAAGAAGGUUUUCUGCGAUGGGGUUCUGUACUUUCCUAAAUUGCUAUUCUUACAUAAUUGAAGGAGUGGGGCAGUUGGUCGUAGAAGCUGACAUGAUGCUUUAGCCAAGAUCAAAAUGCAGACCCUGAUGUCAAUAGAAGGCAUAGUAAGAUACUCCAUCCUUGAAUGGCCAGCGUGAACAAAUAGUGAUACUUUUCUCGAAGUUGUAUUUUUUUAGAAUGAUAUGCUUCACACUAGAUAUCUAUUUGAUUGUUUUUGGAAACUCUGGAUUUGCCUUUGUAUAAUUGUUGUUGAUUACAUUAUAGUAAUGUUUUUCAUUUAUCCUUCCAUUGGCAGCUUCUGUAGACUGCAAACAGAUAGCAGCUUGCAAGGGAAGAAUAUAAAUACCAACAAAGAUAAACAGGAAUUAUCUAGUAAUUAACAUUUCCCUUAUCGAAAAACUCAGGAUUUGAAAUUUUCAUCUAGAGGCCAAUGAACUUCUGCUACUCAUUAUUGUAUUAUUGUAUACUAAACUCGAAAUUUCCCAGUGUCCAAAGUUUAUAUUUUCUUUUCAAAAUCCUUGGCCAUUUUGAGUUCCUUUAGUUCUUUUGUAUGUCAAAUUUGACUAAUGGCAGAUGUCCUGUUUAGGACGAACGCCUUCUGAUUUUCUGUGAUGAACGAAAACCCUGUCAAGUUUCUUAUUGCUCCCUUGAUGGCCCUCAUUAACCCUCUAAGAAGAGCAUCACUUCCCAGUAUAUAUGAUGAACUGAGCUAAAAUAAAAUUCAAGGUUCAAGUGUUUCUGUUUGGUGACAAAGAAAAUGUUAAAAGUAGUUUUGGCUAGUUUGUCAUGUAUGAAUGUUGACCACCUUAACAUUACCAGUAGGCAAACUAUUGUUUUGAAAGAUUAUUAAGCAAGGCAAAUUGGUGCUGCUUCUAUGACAGGUUUGGUUGGUCUAUGUAAUGAUCAAGGCUUACUUUGGGACUUCAAUUCAAUCAACUGUAUCGAUGGCCUUUUGCAUUAAAGGACAAUUUUUUUCCUAUCUGUGAAACAGCUGGGACGAGGAGCUCAAGAAUUUUAUCAUCUGAUUUAGGGGUGGCUAACUUGGCUGAGGAACUUCAAAUUCCAUACUUGAGACCGAUCAAAAUAAAGAAAAGGGAUUUUGUAGAGGAAACAUCAGUAACAGCUGAGGACCAUCUUGCAUGCCAAACUUAAAGACUAUUUGGGGCUGGCUGGAGUGUCCCAAGGAAGUUUUGAUGCUUCUGCAUAUUCAAAUACUUGAUCUGAUCUCAACAUCACAUCCCUAAAUAAUUGUAAAUGUAUUUUUUUCAAUUAAAUAUGCUUUCUGUAUGCUCAUUAGGUUCUAGCUCUCCUUUAAUCAAAUAUUAAGUUACUGAUUUUUUGUAUGUUACCCUGAUGCACAGUUGUUCAACGUGGUUGCAUUCUAAUUAUCACUUCGGAAUUGAUGAGGCUCUGCAGAGGGAGGUAUGCACCGCUAGGCUCCUCCAUUUCUAUUAGUUUAUUUGUGUGACAAUAUCCUUUGAAUGUUGUAAUAUAGGUUUCUGAUUUGAUAAGCUCAGUUCUGAAGUAUGUGGCAUUGGAUCUGUAAAGUUGAAAUUGACCUCCUCGCAAACUAUUUGCAUUGUUGAUUUUGCUAAUUGGAACUUGCAAAAUAACCCAGUAGCAAAUGCAUCUUUCUGUUCAGUAGUUUAGGCACUUCACCUUUUCAGCAUAAUUUUUUUAGCUUCAAUUCUGUUCCUAAAUACAAACAGGGAAAGUGUUGCUAAAUGUUUACUUCUUUUAAGUCUGUUGGUUUCUUUGUCAUCGGCCAACUAAUGAAGUCUCUCUUCGUUGUGGUCCAACUCCGAUUGGUUCAAUGUUUACACAUUUUUACCUUAUCCGUUGUGGGGUAAAUUCUGAUGCUAUGAUCUUGGAUAUCUUCAUUUAAUUAUAAUUAGUUGGUGCUAUCCUCCUUAUGCAGAUGAAAGCUACAUUUGAUGAAACUCAGAGAAACUCCCCAAACACCGCGGGUUGGAGGUAUGGGCAAGAAUGAGCUAUGUCAGUAUGGAAAGGCAUUCCAAAGUUAUUUGCAAUUGGCAUUUAUCGUUUGCUCCAUGUUGUUGAUACUCUUCGAAGGAUUCUUGAUAAAGGCGACCUCUUCUCAUGUGGUGUGUUAGUCCUUUGCAAGCUUCGAAAUCAUGUUAUUCUUUAACCAAGGCCCCAUCACUAAUUGCUUGGAGGAAGACCGCAUGUGCAAGUGGUUCUAUAUGUGAAGUCAAGCAAAAAAUGAGAUUUGUUAACAAGAGUACCAUUUAGAUGUCCACUUCAAGCUGCAAUUUUGUGACUGGGAGAGGCUUUUUUCUUGAAAAAGCAAAUGCCGUGGAAUCAGCAAAUAAUCUGUCAAUUUCAGCCAAGAGUUUCAAAGAAAAGGUUUUCAAGAAGACAGUAGUUUCUCAUUUGGAAGAAUUUAGAACACAAAUACAGGCAUUCAUUAGUGUAAAAUGAUCUCUCUAGGCUGGUUAUGUUGGAAAAUUCAUAUGUAGGCAUUUUGCAAUCGCUUUGGUUGUAUUGAUUUAUUUAAGCAUGAAUCUAAAAGCAGAAAAGACACAGCCAUGUACAUUUUCAUACCUAAAACCAAGUAGAGAGACCAGUUCAUUCUUGAAGAGCAGCAUUACCUUUCCCCUUCCAGAUUCGCUCAAGUGGAUGCAUGGAGCUCGCACCGCUUGGCAAAUUCUCCAUCAAGUUCUGGGUUCUGGAGUGGGGUAUUGAGUUGUUUUUAUGCAAAUUCUCAAUCAAAGGUUUGUCUGAGUCUCUAGUGUGGAUGGAGUUUAUAUAGGGUCUUUUUCUUGAACAAGAAUCGGUGUAUUUUUGGUUGGUGAUUAAGAAAUGUUGAAGUAGUUUUGGCUAGUCUGUCAUAUAUGAAUGUAUGCCUUUCUUAAAAUUACCAGGAGUCAAAAUGUUGUCUUGAAAUAUUAUCAAGCAAGGUAAACUAGUGUUGCUUCUAUUACAGGUUUGGUUGGUCUAUGUAAUGAUCAAGGCUUAAUUUGGGACUUAAAUUCAAUCAGCUGUAUUGAUGACCUUUUGCAUAACUAGACUAUUUUUUGCCCAUCUGUGAAACAAGCUGGGGCGAGGAGCUCAAGAAUUUGCUGAUUAGUUUACAUCCCAUUUGAUCAUAUUGUUGUCAUGGAAUUAUUUUAUCACAUGACUGAAUUGGGUGUGGCUCACUUGGCUGAGGAACUUCAAAUUCCAUACCUGAGACCAAUUUUGCAGAGAAAGCAUCAGCAACAGCUGAGGUGCCAAACUUGAAGAGGCUCAUGGGCCAAGCAGAAUAUUCUGAGGAAGUUUUGAUACAUGUGAAGAUCCAAAGCACUUGAUCUAGUCUCAACAGCAUGUACCUGAAUGAUGGUAAACGUAGUUUUUAAAAUUGAGUCUGUUGUUUGUAUGCUUGUUAGGUUCUAUCUCUUUGUUAAUCAAAAUGAGUAGCUGGUGAUUUUUGUGUAUGUUAUCCUGAUGCAGAGUUGUUUGGUGUGGUUGCAUUCUGGGGACAUCACUGUUGAACUUGAUGAGGCUAUGCACAGGUAGGUAUGCACUAAGCUCCUCAAUUUCUAUCAGUUUAUCCUUUGAAUGUUGUCAUAUAAGUUUCUAAUUUGAUAAGCUCAGUUCUCAUGUUUGCAGUAUUGAAUUAGUGAAGUCGAAAUUGACCUCCUCGCAGUCUAUCCAGAGUUGCUGAUUGGAUAUUGCCAAUGAUCAAGUAACCAGUACGUCUUUCUGUUCUGUAGUUUAGGCAUUUCACAUUUUCAGAAUAAUUUUAUUAACAUUAAUUUUGUUCCUAAACACAAACGGGGAAAGUGUUGCUGCUAAUUGUUUACUUCUUUUAAGCCUAUUUUUUUUUUCUUUUUCAUCUGCUAGCUAAUGAAGUCUCUGUUCACUGUGGUUCAACAAUGAUUGGUGUAAAUGAUGUUUUCGCAUUUGUACCUUAUCUUUCAAGGGGUAAAUUGUGAUGUUGCAAUCUCGCAUUUCUUUAUUUAUUGAUAAUGAGUCAAUCCUAUGCUCAUCGUGUAGAUUCAAGCUGCAUUUCAUGGAACUUGGAGAAAGUCCCCAAACACCACACGAUGGAUAUGCGGGCAGGAAUGAGCUAUGUCAUUAUGAAAAUGUAUUCUGAACCUAGUGGCGUUUAUCAUGUGCUCCUGUUGUCAAUACUCUUCAAAGGAUUCUGGAUAUGAAGCAGCCUUCAUGUGGGUUAUUUGUCCUUUGCAAGCACAAAUCACUUGCAGGAAGACCACACGUGCAGGUGGUUUUAUUUGUGCAAGUUAAGCAUAAAAUGAGAUUUGUCAAGGAGAUGACCAGUUAGAUGUCCACUUCAGGCUACAAUUUUGCAACUAGAAAAAUCGAAUGCCAUGGAAUCAGCAAAAAAUCUGUCAAUUGCAGCCAAGAGUUUCAGCAAAAAGGUUUGCAAGAAGACAGUAGUUUCUCAUUUGGUUGAAUUUUGAACACAGAAGAAAGGUGUUCGGUAGUGUAAAAUCAUCUCUCUAGUCUGGUGUUACCUCAGAAAAUUCAUGUCCGCAUUUUGCAAUCACUUUUAUUGUAUAAUCUCAAACUUGAUUUAUUUAAGCAUGAAUCUAAAAGCUGAAGAGACCCAACCGUAUAUAUUCUCACACCUGAAACCUAUUUCUCUCUUGCAUUGGCUGCAGUUGAAUACUAAUAACAAAACGGGGACAAAAUUUUUGGAAGGGUAAAAAGAGCCCUUCCCUAAAUUUUAUCAUUUUCAUUGAACAAAAAACUUCUAAGGGUCAUCUAAUUGGUUUAUAAUGAGAUGAUACUCCACCAAAUGGUGGUCACCGUUUCACACAUUCAAGUGUCAAUCGAAGCAAUUUCUUUGAGGCCACUCUCUAAUAUUCCUGUACCCUGUACUAGAUUACAAUGGUGGAAUGUUAGUAGUUGAAACCUACUUGCAAGGUAUUAUCGGUUUGAUGUGCUUGUCCCCUUGAACUUUGACUCAAUUUUUCCAGAGCUCAAAACAAGGCCAAGUAGCUUGUUAAGCCACAUUUGAAUCUAUAAGUACUAACACAAAUGUAAUGCAGGUCGUGUUGAAAAACUUGUUAAAUGUAGUUAACAUGAGAUAAUUUAAUUUCAGAAUAUUGGUCAAACAUUACACGAGAAAAGUCGCAAGUAAAGUCAAUGUAUAAGCUCUACACUUUAUUUACUUAGCUGCUUAGUCAGUGUCUAGGUAAUUAAUCCAAAGGGCAGUAGCUUUGUGUUUGACUACUUAUGAAACAUCAUUCACAGCCCUGUCAGCCGAAUUGAUUUGAAGUUGGAACGCAUGGUAGACCGGAUAAUUGGAUGAACAUUCUGAACCAAUUGAACCGAUGUGGUUUUGUUAACAAUUUGCUUCGAGCUUGUUUUUGAAAGUUCUAUCACAUUUUACAACAAGAUCUUAUGAAUAACAGCCGUUCAAACAAUAACUAUGUAAGUUCCCAAAGGACAAGAGAAGAUUCGGUUCAGGCUCUUUGAUUUCCUCAUAUUUGUAACUCCAAGCUCGACAGGAUGGUAGUUGAAAUAUGAAAACUGUCCUCAAAUCAGAAUGGAAGUAUAGAAGGCCUUUCAGCUUAUUUAACACCUGCUAGCUGCAUGUUAGAAUGUAUAGCUUUGGUAGUUUGCCAUAUGAUGAAUCAUAUAAUGCAGAGGAAUUGAAAUAGACAAAUUGAGGAAUUACAAGGUCAAUGAACCCCAAAACGGGGACUUAAAACAACAUUUGGCCAAAAAUAGAAGUUCUAAACAACGAAAUCGACCACAAAAGUAGAUGUAAACGUCAAAUCCUACAAAUGAAAGUAGUCAUCUUACUUUGCAAUCAGCAUCAUGUCGUUGAGAAGAGAAAUUAGCAGGUCAGACAAUUAUUACUUUGCACGAGAAUGCAUGCAUGCAUGCAUGAAGAAUCAUGGUGCUAAAUAAAUCAGAAGGUAAGGAAAUUCGGGAAAAAAAAAACUUUUGGCAAAUAUAAAUAUAUGUGAAUAUCACAGACGAGUGGUCUCAUCUUCCUAUGUUUCGAAUGCUGGAGACCAAUGAAUGAAACAAGGCUUCGAACAAACAUUAUACUGGAAAAAUCGAACAUUAUGGCACUCUUCUGAAUACUUAAUUACCAUUAAAUACAUAGUAAGAUGAUUAGCCAAUAAACAAAGCAAACCUCUUUGUUUCCUCCUUACUGAUUUCAUCAUUUUCUCUCUUGAUGAUGAUGAGCAUGAUAUUCCGUAAUUUCUACAUAUUAAAAAUCGACACAUAAAGCUUGAGCAUUUGCGUAUCAACCACCGGAACCCUUGUUUGAAAGAAGCCUUGAACUUUCCCUCGACCAAAUAAAGCUUGUAUCUGGCCACACUCCUCUUCUCUGCUUCUCCGGGUCAUUCCACCACAUUUAUCGACUUCUAAAACAUAAGAAAUAGGCAAAGACCAAAGUCCAUUUCGACUUACAACAUCAGGUUUGUCUAUUCCCAUCCCAAAGGCAAUGGUGGCACACACAAUCUGGACCUCUCCAGUAUGCCAUUUCUUUUUAACAGUGACGAGCUACUAAUCCAGCAUGAUAGUACACCAUUUUUAUAUGGCACUUCUCAUUUAAGUAUUUUGUGACAUUAACACAUUCACUCUUCCAAAAGCAAUAUACUAUGCCACAAAAAUUAGCAAAACAAAUUUUUAGCAACCCUUCAAGCUGCUUCAGUGGUUCCUAGGUCUUAGCUAAUACCUCGUAUUUUAGAUCUAGUCUGUCAAACCUUGGGUCCCCAAGCUUUGACAGACUAGAUCUAAUGUAUGAGAACAUGGGGAACCCCAAGACCUUUUAGGAUAUCCUAUGAUGGAUGUUUAAUUCAAUAAGAAUAAACAGAUUAUUUCAACAUAAUCGGGAGGUUAAUAUGUGAGUCUAGUACUCACGAACUGAUUGAGUGGCAGUUGCAGUUAAGGCCAUCACUGGGACAUACAGAAAGUUCUGCUUGAGACAUCCCAGUCCCCUAUAAUCUAGCUGAAAAUCAGGUCCCCCUUGACUAAAAAUGACAACCACAAAAGUGACAAUCAAUGAGCUUUACUCAUUUCAUGAGAUCAAAUUGGCAAAGCAAAUCCAGUUAAGACCUUGUAAGAAACACAAUCAAUGAUCACAUGGUUGAACCUUUGCCUUUCUCAAGUUGUUACCAUAAAGUAUAAGCAUUAAUAUAAUAAACAGGGACACAAGAACCAGCUUAAGAGACUAAGUAUCAUGCCAAACAUAGAUAGGAGAUUGGAUCCUUAUCCAAGCUUAUGCCGAUUCCAAUUACUCUGAGAAGUAAUUUCCAUUGGAGCCUAUUUAAGUUGUGCACUCUUUACUCAAUAUAAUGAAAGAUGGGCCACUAAGUGUUCCCAAACAAUGGAACCUAAAUCUUUUCAUCGAACAGGGAACACUGCAUUAUGUUAUAUAGAAACUUCAUAGGGUUCUGGGCUUCAGAAGGUCUAGUGUAACACCGACAAUUUAAUUAGGCUAGAAACAUAGAAAAUGCAGAGAAGUUUGGAAAAAGAAACCAGCAGUAUGUUCCUUUCAUGACAACCACGAAAGUGACAACCAAUGAGCUCUUGUGGUCAAUCAGGCAAAUGUACAAUAAAAGCUCAAACCAGCAGCAUGUUCCUUUCAAGAGAUUAAAUUGGUAGAGUAAAUCCAGUUAAUACCUUUUAAGAAACACGAUCCUUUUAAGAAACACGAUCAAUGAUCAUGUUGGUGGACCCUUGCCUUUCUCAUGUUGUCAGUAUAUAGUAUAACCAUUAAUAGAAUAAACAGAUACCCAAGAACAAGCUUAAGAGACUGAGUAUUAAGCCAAACAUAGAUAGCAUAUGGCAUCUUCCUUUCAUGAGAUUGAACUGGCCGAGCAAAUCCAGUUUAUACCUUGUAAGAAACACAAUCAAUGAUCACAUGGGUGGACCUUUGCCUUUCUCAAGUUGUCAGUAUAUAGUGCAACCAUUAAUAGAAUAAAUAGAUACACAAGAACCAGCUUAAGAGAUGGAGUAUCAUGCCAAACAUAGACAGCAGAUGGCAUCCUUAUCCAAGCUUAAGCCACUUCUAGCCACUUCCAAUUACUUUAGGAAGUCAUUUCCAUUGCAGCUUAUUUAAGUUGAGUUCUCU
rnacentral:lncRNA from 1 species